UGGGUCAGCUCUCCUCUGGUCCCCCUCGUCCAGGCAAAUCGCCCAUGACAGGCCGAAUGGCACAAGGUCUCAGAAAAAGAAAGAGGCAGAUCCUAUGGUAGAAUAAAACACUCGGAGUCACUACAACACACCUGGCUGGGACGAGACGACGUUGUACGUGUCCAUGGGGUCAUCUUCUUGACGCGCCAUAGAGGUGGCAGAAGUAGCGACUCUGUCGAGUAAAAUCCAUUCGACCAAUGAACAAAGAAUUCACUCGGAUAUCAGAAGAAAUUAGAGGAUCGAUACACUUAUGUGGAGGUGACGGGGACAUCAACCCUCAUCCGCGGCAGAGACUUCCGAGGUUUGGACCCACUCGGUCUGGCCGGCUUGGAAGACUGACCCGUAGGCUCAGCGGCAGCAUCCCUGGCCCUUUUGGUGCUCCGAGCACUCGGGACCACCGGGGCAGUAGGCGGAGCACUCGAAGAUGCUGGAGGGGCCGAGGGAACGACAGGCUCAUGUCGGCGCUUGGUCCGAUGCUCUGUUUGUGGAGGCGGAGAGUCCUGCUCUUCGUCUUCCUCGUCUUCCUCGCUGGUCUCUUCCUCCGACCCCCCGCUCUCGGAGACAUAUUCAGCGCUCUCCAUGCUGCCCUCCUGGCUGCCUUCCUCCUCCUCGGCCGGGUUCCCGUUCGAGACGGGAGAAAACCAGUUGGUCCACUCCUGCAUAAAAUUCAGUCGGCGACAUCAGACAUCACACAGAGAUAUAGACAAACGACAAGAAUUAAGACAGUUCAGUGCACUCGACAAGUGUCACUCACCUGAUUCGGUGGAGGAUGAUCCGCGCUGUAAGGCUUCACUCGCCGAGAUCCUUUGGGAUUCUCGCAAGGGCCCGUGAUUUGGAGCACCCACGAGGUCACCCUCUCCUCAGUCACGCCCACCACAUUGGUCCGAGUGGAAUCUUCGGGCCCCGUGUAAUGCCACAUGGCAUGGUCGCGAGCCUGCAGAGGCUGGAUCCGCCGACCAAGGUAGACCUCCAGCAAGUCUAUGCCGGUGACCCCCCUCCUGACGACGUCCACGAGUGCCUCAACCAAGGGCUGGAUGUCGAUCAUCUCCGCCUUCGAGAGCGCGAGUUGCUUAGGCGGAGCGGGCCGAUCUAAACUAAAAGGAGGCAGCCCAGUCGACGCAUUCGGACAGGCGAUAUCCUGGCAGUAGAACCACGUCGUCUGCCAGUUCCUGACCGACUCAAUUAACUGAAGAGCAGGAUAACUACUCCGACUCUUCUUCUGAAAGCCUAAGCCCCCGCAGAGCUGGAGGAGAUGCGUCUUAUCAUCCGACUGGCUAAGUCGUUUGAUGGUUUGGGAUCUGGCGGAAAAGAUGUGUUUGAACAAACCCUAAUGGGGAGGGCAGCCGAUGAAACACUCGCACAAAACUAUAAAGGCAGAAAGAUGGGCGAUGGCAUUCGGAGGAAAAUGGUGAAGUUGGGCCCCGAAGUGAUUCAUGAUGCCCUUGAAGAAAGGAUGCGGGGGCAAAGAAAAACCUCGGUGGACGUGGCUGAGGAGCAGGACACGCUCCCCCUCCCGAGGCGCUGGCUCGACCUCGUCCUCCGCCGGUAGCCUCCAGGACUUAUGAACGAUCAUUCCGUGCUCCACCAGCUGCAGCAGAUCCCCCUCCGUCACCGUGGAGGGGAGGAAGUCGCCCUGAAUCCACCCCGCCGGCAGCGGCCGCUGCCGCCGCUAAGCAGGCGCCGCCGCCUUGCCCUUCUUCUUCCUCGCCUCCAUCUUGCUGGUCUAACCCUUGGUCAUGGAGGCGACGGCGAACCCUCGGGAGGAAGGAGAAGGAAGGAGUGUAGGAGCACUAGAGGUGGCGAGGAAGAUGGAGCAGGCGAGAGCGAAAUAUUCGGGGAGCGUAACAAAGAAGCCUCGCCGCCGAGAUUUAAAUAGGGUUCCGACUGGGUCACUGGCGGGUGGCCCCGAAACCUUAUCCGCCCGAUCGGCCGCGGCGAUAUAAGUGGAGGAGUUGAAGGCGCGAGAAUCGAGGCGUCAGGCGCUACUCGAGCGCUCCGGCGUCAUCCCAGCUGGACGCCCGGAAACCGAAAUUUGAAGAUCCCGGAAAAUCCGCCGCUGCCAGUUGACCGGUCGCGUCAAAAGAUGCUGCGGAAGCACUCGGCUUCCGACAGUCUGUUUCGCGAGUACUUCCACUCGGAUCGUUGGUCAGAAAAGAUAAAAUGGAUAGAGGCAAGCAACGCCCAAGCCAAAUCUGUUCCAGUCGGAACCAAACUUCAAGCACCGCUUCGUCGUUUCAACCCCAAUCCAUUCGGGGACUAAUGAUGGGGUCAUAGUCCUAGGGUAGGGUCAUAGGCCUGUCAUAUAGGUCCUACCCAAGGACUACCCCUCACAAAGGACAAGGCCCUAGUCAGUCCCGACUGAAUUAAGGGGUCCCCAUCAUCCAGUUGGUAACAGGUCCUCAACCAUCCAGUCGGAGACUAGCAUUCGGAGGAUACCAAGCUAACCAACUGGCUACACUCGGUACAUCGUAACCUCUCUGGAGGGAAACUGUCAUACGUUUCCGGGUGCAUUUAUUAGCAUUUAGAGCAUACGUUACCUGUAACGUACGCANNNNNNNNNNNNNNNNNNNNNNNNNNNNNNNNNNNNNNNNNNNNNNNNNNNNNNNNNNNNNNNNNNNNNNNNNNNNNNNNNNNNNNNNNNNNNNNNNNNNUAGGGCGAAUUCUAUACACUUACGAUUGCAACUAUUAGCAAGCAUCCGCAACUACUAAUGUUCAUUAAGUUAAAACCCAACCAUAGCAAUAAGAUAUAUUGGUCCCCUUUCAAUCCCAUAUGCAUCAAUUUCUAUGCUAGGCUGAAGCUUCUGUCACCCUUGCCCUCCAAUAUAUAGUCCUAUUAACAUACUACUAACCCUAUGGUGUGAUCCACGGGCGCGCUCAUAUGAUGGGCACCAAAGGACACCAACAUAACCACAAGCAAAUUAAACCAAUCAUAGCAAUUCAUCAAUCACCGAUAGGACAACAAAAAUCUACUCAGUCAUCAUAGGAUGUCAACACAUCAUUGGAUAAUAAUAUGAAGCAUAAAGCACCAUGUUCAAGUAAAUUAUACAGCGGGUUGCGGGAGAGUGGACCGCUGAAUAUAGAUGGGGGAAGGUGAUGGAGGUGUUGGUGAAGAUGACGGAGGUGUUGGUGUAGAUCACCGUCACACGAUGAUGUCCCGGGCGGCGUUCCAGCGCCACCGGGAGAGAGGGGGAGAGCCCCCCUCUUAUUCUUCUUCCUUGACCUCCUCCCUAGAUGGGAGAAGGGUUUCCCCUCUGGUCCAUGGUCUCCAUGGCGGCAGAGGGGCGAGAGCCCCUCCGAGAUUGGAUCUCUCUCUGUGUGUCCUUCUGUUUCUGCGCUCCCAGAUUUUGCCUUUCACCGUUUCUUAAAUUCCGGGAGAUCCGUAACUCGGAUUGGGCUGAAAUUUUAACACGAUUUUCUUACGAAUAUUAGCUUUAUUGCGGAGAAAGGAGGGCCCCAACCUCCUUAUAUAUUAGUCACAAGCCUGCCAGGUGCGGCCGCACCCCGGGCUGCGGCUACGGGACUUGUGACCCCCUCGGGCAUCGUUUCGCAUAGAUUCUUCUUCCAAAAAUCAUAAAUAUUCCAAAUAAAAUCCCCAUAUGUUUUUUAUUUCAUUUGGUAUGGUUAAUCUGCGAAACAAAAAACAUGCAACAACCAGGAACUGGCACUGGGCACUGGAUCAAUGUGUGAGUCCCAAAAAUAGUAUAAAAAGUUGCCAAAAGUAUAUGGAAGUUGUAGAAUAUUGGCAUGAAACAAUCAAAAAUUAGAGAUACGAUCAAGACGUAUCAAUCAUCAUUAUUAGAGUAUUGUCCCGUGUGAGGAAAUAAAAAAAGAGGCCAAAGAGCCCAAAUAAAAAAGGAGAAAACAAAAAAAGAGAAAAAAGGAGGCCCAAGAGCCAAAAAAAGAGAAAAAAGAGAGAAGGGACAAUGCUACGAUCUUUUCCACACUUGUGCUUCAUAAUAGCACCAUGUUCUUCAUGAUUGAGAGCUUCUUGCUUUGUCACUACCGUAUGCUAGUGGGAAUUUAUAUAGCUUGGCUUGUAUAUUCCAAUGAUGGGCUUCCUCAAAUUGCCCUAGGUCUUCGUGAGCAAGCAAGUUGGAUGCACACCCACUAGUUCUCCUUUUGAGCUUUCACAUACUUAUAGCUCUAGUGCAUCCCUUGUAUGGAAAUCCCUACUCAUUCACAUUGAUAUCUAUUAAUGGCCAUCUCCAUAGCCUUUUGAUACGCCGAGUCAAUGUGACCAUCUCCUCCUUUUUGUCUCACAACCACCACCACACUCUAUACCACCUAUAAUGCUAUAUCCAUGGCUCACGCUCAUGUAUUGCGUGAUAGUUAUAUAAAGUUUGAGAAAGUAAGAGUGCAAAAACAAUUACUUGGCCAAUACCGGGGUUGUGCAUGAUCUACAUUAGUUGUGUGAGGAUGAUGGAGCAUAGCCAGACUAUAUGAUUUUGUAGGGAUAACUUUCUUUGGCCUCGUUAUUUUGAAAGUUCAUGAUUACCUUGCUAGUUUGCUUGAAGUACUAUUGUUUUCAUGUCAAUAGAAAACUAUUGUUUUGAAUCUUACGGAUCUGAACAUUCAUGUCAUAUGAAAGAAGUUGCAAAGGACAACUAUGCUAGGUAGCAUUGAACUUCAAAACUUCAGUGUUUAUCACUUCCCUACUCGAGGACGAGCAGGAGUUAAGCUUGGGGAUGCUUCAUACGUCUCCAACGUAUCAAUAAUUUUUGAUGGUUUCAUGCUAUUAUCUUGUCAAACUUUGGACGUUUUAUAUGCCUUUUAUAUCUUUUUGGGACUAACUUAUUAACUCAAUGCCAAGUGCCAGUUCUUGUUUUUUCGUGUUUUUGACCCUUUUCAGAGGAAGAUUUGAAACGGAGUCCAAACGGAAUAAAAUCCCCGAAAAUAUUUUUUCCGAAACAAAAGAAGAUCGGGAGACGUGAGAACCAAGGUAGGGGGUCCCCAGGGACCCCACAAGCCCCUCAGCCCUGGCCAGGGGGGAGGCCGGGCCUCAAGGGCUUGUGGGCCCCUGGACCUCCUUUUUUCUAGGUUUUGCGCCUAUAUAUUCCCUAAAAUCCCAAAAAAAUCAGGAGAUCAUCGAAAAUACUUUUCCGCCAUCACAAGCUUCUGUCUCUGCAAGAUCCCAUCUGGGGCACAUUCUGGUGCCCUGCCGGAGGGGAGAUUCGGACACGGAGGGCUUCUUCAUCAACACCAUGACCUCUCCGAUGAUGCGUGAGUAGUUCACCAUAGACCUACGGGUCCAUAGUUAGUAGCUAGAAGGCUUCUUCUCUCUCUUGGAUCUUCAAUACAAAGUUCUCCAUGAUCUUCAUGGAGAUCUAUCCGAUGUAAUCUUCUUUUGCGGUGUGUUUGUCGAGAUCCGAUGAAUUGUGGAUUUAUGAUCAGCUUAUCUAUGAAUUUUCUUAUGAUCUCUCUUAUGCAUGAUUUCAUAUCCUAGUAAUUCUCUUCAAGUUGUGGGUUUUGUUUGGCCAACUAGAUCUAUGAUUCUUGCAAUGGGAGAAGUGCUUGGUUUUGGGUUCAUACUGUGUGGUGACCUCACCCAGUGACAGAAGGGGUAGCGAGGCACGCAUCGUGUUGUUGCCAUCAAGGGUAAGAAGAUGGGGUUUCAUCAUUGGUUUGAGAUUAUCCCUCUACAUCAUGUCAUCUUGCUUAAGGUGUUACUCUGUUCGUCAUGAACUCAAUACACUAGAUGCAUGAUGGAUAGCGGUCGAUGUGUGGAGUAAUAGUAGUAGAUACAGAAAGUAUCGGUCUACUUGUCUCGGACCGGAUGCCUAUAUGUAUGAUCAUUGCCUUAGAUAUCGUCAUGACUUUGCGCGGUUCUAUCAAUUGCUCGACAGUAAUUUGUUCACCCACCAUAAUACUUGCUAUUUUGAGAGAAGCCUCUAGUGAACACUAUGGCCCCCGGGUCUACUCCACACGAUAUUUUCAGCCUUACACUUUUACUUCGUUGCACUUUCCGCCUUCUGAUCUCACUUUGCAAUCAAUCUUGAAGGGAUUGACAACCCCUUUUAGCGUUGGGUGCAAGCUCUUUUAUGUUUGCGCAGGUACUCUGGACUUGACGAGAUGCUCCUACUGGAUUAAUACCUUGGUUCUCAAACUGAGGGAAAUACUUACUGCUCCUGUGCUGCAUCACCCUUUCCUCUUCAAGGGAAAAACCAACGCAAGAAAGUCUCCAUCAACGUGUCAAUUUCCGGUGCUGUUGUUUGAGAAGUAGUAGAAGGAUUCUUGGCGUCAUUGAUUGGGAAGGACUUUUGUUGCCGUAGGAAUUACAAGUUCGCCAUAGCUGCAACUUCGCGUUCUUUGUUUGUGUUCUACGACCAGACAAAGGCGUCAUAUAACUCGACCUUCAUCAAUAAAGCUUUCCUCUUAUAUUCGCAAUAUCUUGAUUGCAUCUUAGUUUCUUGCUUUUCUUUGUUUGCAUGCAGGAAACAGACCUUCGUGGUGAGGUUGAUCGUGCUCCGGCGUGGUCAAUAACCUCUCGGAGUUGGUUUAGCGAUUGCUAAGGCGCGACGUCCUCACAUGUUUGUAGUCGGAUCGUCAAAGUUGACUCUACCAAAAUGAUAACCACGAUUUCAUCGAAAGACAGGGAUAACUUCGCCUCUAUCAUAUCGUUCCAUCUCAAGAACAAGAGAGAGAAAGAGAGAGAGAGAUCAAACACAUAUAUACUCAUACAUACCUCAGCCCCGAGGGUGAAGUACCCCCUCCUCAUCAUGGCCUCCAUAGAGAUGAUUAAGAUGGCCACGAGAGAUGAUUUCCCCUCUUUGUCAGGGUACUGGAAAGGCUCGAGAUGGGUUUUUCGUUGAUACAAAGAGUUGCGGUGGUUGAGCGGAAGUUCUCUCUUUAUUUCUGGGGAUCUCAUAUAUAUAGGAUUUUUCAGAUUUGGAAUCAAGCCAAACGGAGCCACGUGGGCCCCACAAGCCAUUAGGGCACGCCCUAGGGGGCACACUCCGGGGUUAGUUCCAAAUAAAUCAUAUAAAGUAAAAAAAACAUAUAAAAGUAUUGUAAACAUAUGCAAACAUGGCAUGAAUACUUCAUAAAUUAUCGAUACGUUGGAGACGUAUCACUUACUUUCAUGAGAGAUGCCACUAGGGAAAACUAUGAACCCCAGGUCUAUUCACUUAUAAGUUUACAAAUUCUACAAUACCUUGUUGUUCUUAUUUACUAUUUAUUUUAUUUUGCAUUUUUCAAUUACCUACUACCAACCACACUAAUUACAAGCUUGUAAAUUACAAGUCCAAGGGGAUUGACAACCCUCUUGCCCAUGUAGGGUGCAAGUGUUUUCUCAUUUGUGUGUAGCCGCUGAAGAUGGAGGUUGGUUGUUACUCCUAUUGUUCGAUAAACCUGGAUUCUCUACUGAGGGCAAUACUUACCUAUACUGUGUUCCAUCACCCAUUCCUCUUCACGGAAAACCCAAUGUAGAUCACAAGUAUCAGGAAUCCCCAAGAUUGAUCUUUUGUAUCUCUUUCAAUCCUCUCAUAUCCCGUUUUCUCCUAAGUCUCCAGUACUUCAUCCACACGAAACUUGAACAGAACCCGUGAGAUCGGUUAGUACAUAUAAGAAUAGAUCAACACUUCAUGUGCUGCCAAGACAAGUUGGAUAGUAAUUUCCAAACAUUACAUACUGUAUACUAUUGAUACGACCAUUUUGCAACAUGUUUUCAUGUUGAUAUUUAUCGCUUUAUGGACUGUUAUUAUACUUUGUGGUACCAUACUUAUGCCUUUUCUCUCUUAUUUUGCAAGGUUUAUUUGAAGAGGGAGAAUACCGGCAGCUGGAAUUCUGUACUGGAAAAGGAGCAAGUCUGAGUCCUCUAUUCUGCGCAACUCCAAAUGCCCUGAAAAUCAACGUGGAAUUUUUUGGGAAUAUAUAAAAAAUAUUGGGUGAAAGAAGUACCAGAGGGAAGCUGCAAGGGGCCCACAAGCCUGGUAGCCGCGGCCUGCCCCCUGGCCGCGGCUACAGGGCUUGUGGGCACCCUGGUAGCCCACCGGCCCCCCUCUUCUGCUAUAUGAAUGGUUUCGUCCAGAAAAAAACAAGGCGGAGCUUUUUCGAGGAGGCGCCGCCGCCACGAGGCGGAACUUGAGCAAAACCAAUCUUGAGCUCCGGCAUGUAGAUCCUGCCGGGGAAACUUCCCUCCCGGAGGGGGAAAUCGUCGCCAUCGUUAUCACCAACACUCAUCUCAUCGGAGGGGACUCGUCUCCAUCAACAUCUUCAUUAGCACCAUCUCAUCUCCAAACCCUAGUUCAUCACUUGUAACCAAUCUCCGUCUCGCGACUCCGAUUGGUACUUGUAAGGUUGCUAGUAGUGUUGAUUACUCUUUGUAGUUGAUGCUAGUUGGAUUACUUGGUGGAAGAGUUUAUGUUCAGAUCCUUGAUGCUACUCAUUACCUCUCUCGUCAUGAAUAUGAUUAUGCUUUGUGAGUAGUUACUUUUGUUCCUGAAGACAUGGGAUAAGUCAUGCUAAUAGUAGUCAUGUGAAUUUGGCAUUCGUUCGGUAAUUUGAUAUGUUGUAUGUUGUUUUUCCUCUAGUGGUGUUAUGUGAACGUCGACUACAUAACACUUCACCAUUAUUUGGGCCUAGAGGAAGGCAUUGGGGAGUAGUAAGUACAUGAUGGGUUGCUAGAGUGACAGAAGCUUAAACCCCAGUCUAUGCGUUGCUUCGUAAGGGGCUGAUUUGGAUCCGCUAGUUUAAUGCUAUGGUUAGACUUUGUCUUAAUUCUUCUUUCGUAGUUGUGGAUGGUUCCGAGAGGGGUUAAUCAUAAGUGGGAUGCUUGUCCAAGUAAGGGAAGUACCCAAGCGCCGGUCCACCCACAUGUCAAACUAUCAAAGUAACGAACGCGAAUGAUAUGAACAUGAUGAAAACUAGCAUGACAGAAAUUCCCUUGUGUCCUCGGGAGCGUUUUUCCUCCUAUAAGACUUUGUUCAGGCUUGUCCCCUGCUACAAAAGGGAUUGGGCCACUUUUCUACACCGUUUCUACUACUUGUUACUUGUUACUUUUCACCUGCUACGUUUCACCUCACUACACCAUCAAUUGUUACCGCUACUUCCAAUGCUUGCAGUUACUACCUUGCUGAAAACCGUUUUUCAGAGCCUUCUGCUCCUCGUUGGUUUCGACACUCUUACUUAUCAAAAGGACUACGAUUGAUACCCUAUUCUUUUGGGUCAUCAAGACUCUUUUCUGGCGCCGUUGCCGGGGAGCGAAGCGCCUUUGGUAAGUGGAAUUUGGUAAGGAAACAUUUAUAUACUAGGCUGAAAUUUAUUGUCACUUGUCACUAGGGAAACUGUUCCUUUGAGGAAUUUGUUCGGGGUAUAUUCACCACGAACGGAAGCACGAGAAGUUGCUCCUCAACCUAAGGUACCCACUGAAAAUAUCUUUUAUGAAAUUCCUUCGGGUAUGCUUGAGAAACUGCUGGCUAAUCCUUUUACAGGAGAUGGAUCUUCACAUCCAGACUUGCAUCUAAUCUAUGUAGAUGAAGUUUGUGGUUUAUUUAAGCUUGCAGGUUUGCCCGAGGAUGAGGUAAAGAAGAAAGUCUUUACUUUAUCUUUGAAGGAUAAGGCGUUGACAUGGUAUAGGCUAUGUGAUGAUACUGGAUCGUGGGACUACAAUCGGUUGAAAUUGGAAUUUCAUCAAAAGUUUUAUCCUAUGCAUUUAGUACAUCGUGAUCGGAAUUAUAUUUAUAACUUUUGGCCUCGUGACAGGGAAAGCAUAGCUCAAGCUUGGGGGAGGCUUAAAUCAAUGCUAUAUUCAUGCCCCAAUCAUGAGCUCUCGAGAGAAAUUAUCACUCAAAACUUUUAUGCUCGACUUUCUCAUGAAGAUCGUACCAUGCUUGACACUUCUUGUACCGGUUCUUUUAUGAAGAAGGAUAUUGAUCACAAGUGGAAUUUAUUGGAAAGAAUCAAACGUAACUCUGAAGAUUGGGAGCUUGAAGAAGGUAAGGAGUCAGGUAUGAAUUUCCAGUUUGAUUGCAUUAAAUCUUUUGUUGAAACAAACACUUCUAGAGAUUUUAGCGCUAAGUAUGGACUUGACUGUGAGAUAGUAGCUUCUCUAUGUGAAUCUUUUGUUGCUCAUGUUGAUCUUCCCAAAGAGAAGUGGUUUAAGUAUCAUCCUCCUGUAGAAGUCAACAUAGUUAAACCCAAUCUAGUUGAAGGGAAAGUCAUUGCCUAAAAUUAUCCUAUUGUUCCUUGUGCCUACACUAAGAAACCACCUUACCCUGCUAGGAAAAAGGAUUAUUCUAAAGCUCCAAUUGUGAUACGUAGGGGUUACAUUAGACCACUUGCACCCCUGAGGAAAUUAGAGUUGAACCUAGUGUUGUGGGUAUAAGCCUGACAGUAGAUGUGUAGGGUACGAAUGAGAUGGGCAGAGUCCUAGCUACGGCGAGGUUGUAUGAGUUCGGGCCCCUCAGCGGUGGAGGUAACAGCCCUACGUCUCAGUGCUCUCGGAGCUUGCUGUUGAGUGGAAUAUGGAAUACAAUGAUUUACUAACCCCUCUACCAGUGUGGGAGGGCGGCUUAUAUAGAGUGCGCUGCCCUCCACAACGAUUCCGAUACAGGGGUGGAGUAAUGGGGAUUGAAUGCGUACGUUACAGGUAACGUAUGCUCUAAAUGCUAAUAAAUGCACCCAGAAAUGUACGGCAGUUUCCCUCCAGAGAGGUUACGAUGUACCGAGUGUAGCCAGUCGGUUAGCUUGGUAUCCUCCGAAUGCUAGUCUCCGACUGGAUGGUUGAGGACCUGUUACCGACUGGAUGAUGGGGACCCCUUAAUUCAGUCGGGACUGACUAGGGCCUUGUCCUUUGUGAGGGGUAGUCCUUGGGUAGGACCUAUAUGACAGGCCUAUGACCCUACCCUAGGACUAUGACCCCAUCAUUAGUCCCCGAAUGGAUUGGGGUUGAAACGACGAAGCGGUGCUUGAAGUUUGGUUCCGACUGGAACAGAUUUGGCUUGGGCGUUGCUUGCCUCUAUCCAUUUUAUCUUUUCUGACCAACGAUCCGAGUGGAAGUACUCGCGAAACAGACUGUCGGAAGCCGAGUGCUUCCGCAGCAUCUUUUGACGCGACCGGUCAACUGGCAGCGGCGGAUUUUCCGGGAUCUUCAAAUUUCGGUUUCCGGGCGUCCAGCUGGGAUGACGCCGGAGCGCUCGAGUAGCGCCUGACGCCUCGAUUCUCGCGCCUUCAACUCCUCCACUUAUAUCGCCGCGGCCGAUCGGGCGGAUAAGGUUUCGGGGCCACCCGCCAGUGACCCAGUCGGAACCCUAUUUAAAUCUCGGCGGCGAGGCUUCUUUGUUACGCUCCCCGAAUAUUUCGCUCUCGCCUGCUCCAUCUUCCUCGCCACCUCUAGUGCUCCUACACUCCUUCCUUCUCCUUCCUCCCGAGGGUUCGCCGUCGCCUCCAUGACCAAGGGUUAGACCAGCAAGAUGGAGGCGAGGAAGAAGAAGGGCAAGGCGGCGGCGCCUGCUUAGCGGCGGCAGCGGCCGCUGCCGGCGGGGUGGAUUCAGGGCGACUUCCUCCCCUCCACGGUGACGGAGGGGGAUCUGCUGCAGCUGGUGGAGCACGGAAUGAUCGUUCAUAAGUCCUGGAGGCUACCGGCGGAGGACGAGGUCGAGCCAGCGCCUCGGGAGGGGGAGCGUGUCCUGCUCCUCAGCCACGUCCACCGAGGUUUUUCUUUGCCCCCGCAUCCUUUCUUCAAGGGCAUCAUGAAUCACUUCGGGGCCCAACUUCACCAUUUUCCUCCGAAUGCCAUCGCCCAUCUUUCUGCCUUUAUAGUUUUGUGCGAGUGUUUCAUCGGCUGCCCUCCCCAUUAGGGUUUGUUCAAACACAUCUUUUCCGCCAGAUCCCAAACCAUCAAACGACUUAGCCAGUCGGAUGAUAAGACGCAUCUCCUCCAGCUCUGCGGGGGCUUAGGCUUUCAGAAGAAGAGUCGGAGUAGUUAUCCUGCUCUUCAGUUAAUUGAGUCGGUCAGGAACUGGCAGACGACGUGGUUCUACUGCCAGGAUAUCGCCUGUCCGAAUGCGUCGACUGGGCUGCCUCCUUUUAGUUUAGAUCGGCCCGCUCCGCCUAAGCAACUCGCGCUCUCGAAGGCGGAGAUGAUCGACAUCCAGCCCUUGGUUGAGGCACUCGUGGACGUCGUCAGGAGGGGGGUCACCGGCAUAGACUUGCUGGAGGUCUACCUUGGUCGGCGGAUCCAGCCUCUGCAGGCUCGCGACCAUGCCAUGUGGCAUUACACGGGGCCCGAAGAUUCCACUCGGACCAAUGUGGUGGGCGUGACUGAGGAGAGGGUGACCUCGUGGGUGCUCCAAAUCACGGGCCCUUGCGAGAAUCCCAAAGGAUCUCGGCGAGUGAAGCCUUACAGCGCGGAUCAUCCUCCACCGAAUCAGGUGAGUGACACUUGUCGAGUGCACUGAACUGUCUUAAUUCUUGUCGUUUGUCUAUAUCUCUGUGUGAUGUCUGAUGUCGCCGACUGAAUUUUAUGCAGGAGUGGACCAACUGGUUUUCUCCCGUCUCGAACGGGAACCCGGCCGAGGAGGAGGAAGGCAGCCAGGAGGGCAGCAUGGAGAGCGCUGAAUAUGUCUCCGAGAGCGGGGGGUCGGAGGAAGAGACCAGCGAGGAAGACGAGGAAGACGAAGAGCAGGACUCUCCGCCUCCACAAACAGAGCAUCGGACCAAGCGCCGACAUGAGCCUGUCGUUCCCUCGGCCCCUCCAGCAUCUUCGAGUGCUCCGCCUACUGCCCCGGUGGUCCCGAGUGCUCGGAGCACCAAAAGGGCCAGGGAUGCUGCCGCUGAGCCUACGGGUCAGUCUUCCAAGCCGGCCAGACCGAGUGGGUCCAAACCUCGGAAGUCUCUGCCGCGGAUGAGGGUUGAUGUCCCCGUCACCUCCACAUAAGUGUAUCGAUCCUCUAAUUUCUUCUGAUAUCCGAGUGAAUUCUUUGUUCAUUGGUCGAAUGGAUUUUACUCGACAGAGUCGCUACUUCUGCCACCUCUAUGGCGCGUCAAGAAGAUGACCCCAUGGACACGUACAACGUCGUCUCGUCCCAGCCAGGUGUGUUGUAGUGACUCCGAGUGUUUUAUUCUACCAUAGGAUCUGCCUCUUUCUUUUUCUGAGACCUUGUGCCAUUCGGCCUGUCAUGGGCGAUUUGCCUGGACGAGGGGGACCAGAGGAGAGCUGACCCAGCCGUGGAGCCUGUUCUUGAGGCUGCUCCUCCCACUGCCGCUCUCGCCGCCGACGUGCUGGCGACUGAGGCGCUGCCGCCGACUAACCGGCACUGGUGGUUGAGGUGCCGACUGGAGCGGACCUCGGGAUGCCUCAGGAGCUUCCGACGAUGCCAGGCUCGUCGAAUGCCGAGUUCAACAUCCGGCGUCCCCCGGAGGAGCAGGUGGGAGCGGCCAAGGGAGCCAUGGUGCAGGCGGAGCUGAUGGCUCGGGAGGCCAAGAGGACCUACGAUUCCGUCACGUCCUUGUACCAGCGGAGCCUGGAGCUGCGGGAUGAUAUCCGAGUGAGUGGGCUAGUAAGUAUUUACUUUUCUCUUGUAACCCACCGAGUGUUUUUGGAUAGCAUCUGUUGUUCACAAUGGGUUCACUCUUAGUGAACCCGGUGGGUGUAGUCCCCGAGACUUCUGUCUGUGCUUUGGUCAGGUCUGUAAAUAACAUGACCGAGUGCGCGUAGUUGUGGCACUCGGAGUGCACUUACUGUAAGAGUCCCCGAUAGUAAUUUGUACUCAGGUCGGGUAUUAUUGGCCUCGUAAGCGUAGGUGAUAACAUGCAUCUCAAUGGGGCAAGCCUGCUUGAGCUGCAUGCCAGUGGGCUCACUCUUAGUGAACCCACUGGGUGUAGUCCCCGAGACCGCUGUCGACUACUAGCGUCGGCAGUGGUCUGAAGAACUUAGACUUUUAACUGUUGAACUUUCUGAUUGCUCCUUGGUGCUUGGUGGGAGAAAACUUGUGAAAUGGGGACGGCCUAUGAGGCUCUCAGAGCGGAGAGGAACCAAUUCGCUGCGGAGCUUGAUGCGGCUAUGCUCGCAAUGGCCGGCAUGAAGGAUGCUCUGGAGGAACGAGAGAAGUACUUGGAGGAGGCGCGUGAAGCGAACAAGGUGUUGACAGAGGAAGUGGAAAAAAUGAAGAAACAGAGGACUGCUCUCACGAAUCAGAUUGUCGUCCUGAAUAAGCGAUGCACCGCUCAGGAGAAGUAUGUCAGCGACUGGGCUGGGCAGAUGAUGAGGCGUCUGGCUGGUAAGUCUUAUGUUUUGCCGAGUGCUGGUACUGUGUGCGUGACACUCGACGUUUAUUAAAUGCUUGCCCUUUUGUUGCAGACUUUUGCAUUGAUGCUGAAGCUGAAGCGGCGGACGUGGAGCGGUCCAUUCGUGACAACGUGCCACUCGGCGAGGACGCCAAUCGGGAUCUGCUCCGGGCGCAUAUCCGCAUAGGCAAAGUGGGUCCUUUCAUCGGUCGACUGAGAGAGGUCGUCGGCCGAAUUGAGAAGGAACUUUGGCUAGAGGAUGAGUCGCGGCAGGAGAUGGAGAACCUGAUGGCCCGACUGGAGGAGAUUCCCAACCGAGUGCAGUCGUGGAAGAAAUCUACAGCUCGUUGCGGUGCAGAUGUUGCUCUGUCCCUGGUCCGAGUCCAUUGCAAGGAGGUGUGUGAGGAGAAGUUGAAGACACUGAAGGUCGCCAACACGAAGAAGCUUCGAUUCGAAGACUUCAUGGAGACGUUCCUUGAGAGUGCUACCCGCAUCGCCGACGGAAUCGACUUGGACACCUUCGUGGAGCCCUCCAGUCCUGGCGCCAACCCAGCUGACGCUUGAAAAAACUUUAUCCUCGGUAUGCCGAGUGUUAAUCUAUAAGAAACUCUGGCCACUGCUGUUGGCCGUCACAUUCUUAGAUCGGUGCGGGUAAGCUUGAUCCGCACCGAGUAAACUAUCUUUGCUAGAGCUUUGAAUCGAAUUUUUGCUGUUCUGUUGCAAUUUUGAUUCGGGUUUUUGUUUGGCGUUUCUUGGUGAAGCCAAAGGCAAACAUUCGGAACAUGUCAGUUGUUUUGACAUCUGCGUGAGCCUCAUUGAGGGUCCGUGGAAUUUCCUAAGUCUCUGAGUGUACGUUAAGAGUACACUCGGAGAAGGUUAAUACUUAGGCGAUUCUUGAUCGCAGCUAAGCUCCCGAGUGUGACGUUUAGUGCACACUCGGAGAAGGUUAAUACUUAGGCGAUUCUGGAUCGCAGCUAAGCCCCCGAGUGUGACGUGUAGUGCACACUCAGAGAAGGUUAAUACUUAGGCGAUCCUGGAUCGCAGCUAAGCCCCCGAGUGUGACAUGUAGUGCACACUCGGAAAUAGUUAGUACUUAGGCGAUGCUGGAUCGCAGCUAAGCCCCCCGAGUGUAACGUGUAGUGCACACUCAGAGAUAGGUAGUACUUAGGCGAUGCUGGAUCGCAGCUAAGCCUCCGAGUGUGACGUGUAUUGCACACUCGGAGAUAGUUAGUACUUAGGCGAUGCUGGAUCGCAGCUAAGCCCCCGAGUGUGACGUGUAGUGCACACUCGGAGAUAGGUAGUACUUAGGCGAUGCUGGAUCGCAGCUAAGCCUCCGAGUGUGACGUGUAGUGCACACUCGGAGAUAGUUAGUACUUAGGCGAUGCUGGAUCGCAGCUAAGCCCCCGAGUGUGACGUGUAGUGCACACUCGGAGAAGGUUAAUACUUAGGCGAUUCUGGAUAGCAGCUAAGUUUUUUUUGAGACCGAAGUCUGCGACCGCGGAAGAACUUUGAACCUGCAAAAAACUCAAUCUGCUUUAUAUUAUUUCGCCAACACUUGUUCUUUACAUUGCUUGAGUCGACGGUCACGUGUAGAAGCGCUUCAGGAGAGCUCCGUUCCAUGCACGCGGCUCGUCUGUCUCCCUCUCGAUGUUGUAGAGUCUGUAUGCUCCGUUGUUCAGCACCUUGGAGAUGAUGAAGGGUCCUUCCCAGGCCGGAGCCAACUUGUGAGGUCUUUGCUGAUCCACUCGGAGCACCAGAUCGCCUGCUUGGAACGUGCGACUUCUGACGUGGCGUGCAUGAAAACGCCGUAGAUUUUGUUGAUAAAUGGUCGAGCGAGUUAACGCCAUCUCGCGCUCCUCCUCCAGAAGAUCCACUCCGUCUUGCCUUGCUUGUUCUGCUUCGACUUCGGAGAAGAGUUCGACUCGUGGCGCAUUGUGAAGCAAGUCACUCGGAAGGACCGCUUCUGCUCCAUAAACGAGGAAGAACGGUGAUCGCCCUGUAGAUCUGUUCGGGCUUGUGCGAAGUCCCCAAAGCACUGAAGGUAGCUCGGUAACCCAAGCGCCAGCGGCAUGUCCUAUUUCUCGCAGGAGUCGGGGCUUCAAACCUUGCAAAAUAAGUCCGUUUGCCCGCACUGCUUGUCCAUUGGACUGAGGAUGUGCUACGGAAGCAAAAUCCACUCGGAUGCCUUGGCUUGUACAGAAACCUUUGAAUCUGUCCGAGUCAAAGUUUGUCCCAUUGUCUAUGAUUAUACUGUGAGGUACACCGAAUCUGAAGAUGAUGUCCGUGACAAACUUGACGGCUGUUGAGGCGUCGAGCUUCUUGAUGGGCUUCGCUUCGAUCCAUUUCGUGAACUUGUCGACUGCCACCAACAGAUGUGUGUAUCCACCUUGGCCUGUCUUGAAUGGGCCGACUGUAUCUAAUCCCCACACUGCAAACGGCCACACCAGAGGGAUCGUCUUCCACGCAGACGUUGGCUUGUGAGACUUGUUGGAGUAGAACUGGCAGCCCUCACAUCGAUCAACCAUAUCCUUAGCCAUCUCGUUAGUCUGCAGCCAAAAGAAGCCAGCCCUGAAUGCCUUGGCGACGAUUGCUCUCGAAGAAGCGUGAUGACCGCAGGUCCCCGAGUGAAUAUCCUCCAGAAUCAGUUGCCCCUCCUCUGGGGAGAUGCAUCGUUGAAGAACGCCUGAGAUACUUUCCUUGUACAAUUGGCCAUCAAUGACAGUGAAUGACUUCGACCUGCGGACUAUCUGCCUGGCUUGGACUUCGUCUUCUGGAAGUUCUUGCCUCAAGAUAUAUGCCAUGAUCGGCACAGUCCAAUCGGGAAUGACAGCCAGAAUCUCCAUGACCAGAUCAACCACAGCAGGUACAUCGACUUCAGUCGGAUCUGUUGUGCUCUUGGGUUGUACUGGUUCCUCUGUGAAAGGAUCUUCUUUGACUGAGGGGAGGUGGAGGUGCUCGAGGCAGACGUCACUCGGGACUGGUCUCCGAGUGGAUCCGAGUUUUUUUAACUCGUCAGCUGCUUGGUUCUUCAGUCUUGGAACAUGGUGAAGUUCUAGACCUUCAAACUUCUUCUCAAGCUUCCUCACUGCAUUGCAGUAUGUAGUCAUGGUGGGGUUUCUGACGUCCCACUCUUUCAUCACUUGAUUGACCACCAGAUCUGAAUCGCCGUAGACCAUCAGGCGACGGACACCGAGUGAGAUGGCCAUACGCAACCCGUAGAAGAGAGCUUCAUACUCCGCCUCAUUGUUGGAGGAAUCGAAGUGUAUCUGAAGCACGUACUUGAGCUUGUCUCCCUUUGGUGAUAUGAUCACAACGCCAGCGCCGGAGCCAUUCAACAUCUUGGACCCAUCAAAGAACAUUGUCCAAUGGGCCGAGCAGAUGUGGGUCGGUUGCUGUUGUUCUACCCAUUCUGCUAUGAAGUCAGCGAGAGCUUGAGACUUAAUAGCUUUCUUGGCCUCGAACUUGAUGUCACAGUACAGCAUCUCCAUCGCCCACUUCGCCACUCGGCCUGACGCAUCUCGAUUGUGGAGAAUUUCCGACAAUGGAGCAUCAGAAACGACAGACACCGAGUGGUCUUGGAAAUAAUGGGCCACUUUCUUCGCAGUCAUGUAAAUCCCGUAGAUAAGUUUUUGAUAAUGGGGAUACCUCUGCUUGGAAGGGGUCAAGACUUCGGAUACGUAGUACACUGGCCGCUGAACUUUGUAUGCUUUGCCUUCUUCAUCUUGUUCGACUGUAAGAACGGUACUGAUGACUUGAUUUGUAGCCGCGAUAUACAGAAGAAGGGGCUCUUUACUGAGCAGAGCAGUAAGAACCGGCUGGGUGGAAAGCAGGACUUUGAGGUCGUCGAAUGCGACUUGGGCCUCAUCUGUCCACUCGAAAGUAUAUGAUUUCUUCACGAGUCGGUACAGAGGAAGUGCUUUUUCGCCGAGUCGACUGAUGAACCUCCUCAAAGCCGCUAGGCAACCUGUGAGCCGUUGAACAUCGUGUAUUCGGACCGGCCUCUCCAUUCGGACGAUGGUCCCGAUCUUUUCGGGGUUGACGUCGAUCCCUCAUUCGGAAACGAAGAAACCGAGUAACUUUCCGCUGGGAACACCGAAUGAACAUUUGGCUGGGUUGAGCUUGAUAUUGUACCUACGAAGGUUGGCAAUUUUUCUGCCAAGUCAGUCAGCAGGUCGGAACCUUUGCGUGACUUGACUACGAUAUCAUCCAUAUAUGCCUCCACAUUGCGACCGAUCUGAUCGAGGAGACAUUUUUGGAUCAUGCGCAUAAAGGUAGCUCCUGCAUUCUUCAGACCGAAUGGCAUAGUGAUGUAGCAGAAGCAUCCGAAUGGGGUGAUGAAGGCUGAUUUUAACUCAUCGGGGCCAUACAGACGGAUCUAAUGAUAGCCCGAGUAGGCAUCGAGAAAUGAUAGACGCUCGCAGCCCGCAGUUGAAUCGACAAUUUGAUCUAUGCGGGGGAGCGGAAAAUGGUCUUUCGGGCAGACCUUAUUGAGAUGCUUGAAGUCGAUGCACAUUCAGAGCGACUUGUCCUUCUUGGGCACCAUGGCAACAUUGGCGAACCACUCGGAGUGGUGAACCUCGCGAAUGAAGUUGGCUACCAACAGCUUGGCCACCUCUUCCCCGAUUGCCUUCCUCUUGUGCGCGGCGGCCCGGCGCAGGCGCUCUCGGACAGGCCGAGCCGUGGAAUCCACGUGCAGUCGGUGCUCAGCCAACUCCCUGGGUACACCUGGCAUGUCAGAGGGUUUCCAUGCGAAGAUGUCCCAGUUCGCACGGAGGAAUUAGGUGAGCUCGGCUUCCUAUUUAGGAUCGAGGGUGGUGGAGAUGUUCGUCGGGGCAGCAGUGGCGUCCGUCGGGUGGAUGCUGACCUUCUUCGUCUCUCCCGCUGACUGAAAUGCAGACUCUGAAGCCGGCUUCUUCGAGCGCAUCAGGUCGGCGGGGUCGACUGUUUUCUUGUACUCGUCCAGCUCGAGGACGGCCAUCUGCUCGUCGGUGAUUCUUGAUCCCUGCUGCAGACACUCUUCAGCCCGCUGCCGAUUGUCUGUGAUGGUGAUCACACCUUUCGGGCCUGGUAUCUUUAGCUUCAGGUACACGUAACAUGGACGGGCCAUGAAGUGCGCAUACGCUGGGCGACCCAGAAUUGCGUGAUAAGCGCUCUGGAAGUCAACCACUUCGAACGUCAGCUUUUCCUUGCGGAAGUUCUUGUCGGAGCCAAAAACGAUGUCCAACGCGAUCUGGCCGAGUGACUUGGCCUUCCGUCCAGGGACGACUCCGUGGAACUGCAUGCUGCUCUCGCUGAGUUUGGACAUCGGGAUGCCCAUCCCCUUGAGGGUGUCAGCGUACAUGAUGUUCAAGCCGCUGCCGCCAUCCAUGAGGACUUUGUGCAGUCGGACUCCUUCUACCACCGGGUCGACGACUAGGGCCUAUCUCCCCGGGGUGGGUACAUGUGCCGGAUGAUCCGACUGGUCGAAGGUGAUCGCAGUCUGAGACCAUUUGAGGAAUUUGGGGUUGGAAGGGGUGGCCAUGUUCACCAGCUUCAGUCGGCUCUUGCUCUCGACGUCAGCAAAGAUCAUCAGGGUUGCAUGGACUUGGGGGAACGGAUCCUCCUUAUCCUCCUCAUCCUGUUCAUGGUCCUUCUCACUCGGUUGCCCUUCGCUGAACCCCUGGAUCAAGAGGCGACACUGUCGAGUGGUAUGCUUCGCAUAUAUGGGGUUGCCUUCUUCGUCCAUCUUCGUAUGAACCGUACAUGGCUGGUCCAGGAUGGGGUUAUUGAACUUCUUCUUCUUGGGUGUGAACUGAGCCUUCCCUUUACCCUUGAACUUGGCAUUGGUUACGGCUGCAGCCUCCGCUUGCGGAGCGGUCGGAGCUUUCUGCUUCUGCUUCCGAGUGUUGCUCCCAUCGCCAUCAGCGACUGUUUUGUGCUUGCCGCUCCGGAUGCGGUCCUCUUCUUCGCCAUUUGCGUAGCGUGUUGCUAUCUCCAUCAUCUUGCUCAUGGAGAUGUCGCCUGUUCAGCCGAACUUCAGGUACAGAUCCCUGUACCGCACGCCUGCCUUGAAAGCGCAGACUGCUUGAUGCUCGGUGACGUUCUCCACCGUGUGAUAGAGAAUUGUCCAGCGCUGGAUGAAGUCACGCAGGGGCUCAUUCUGCUUCUGGACGCAGUGCUGGAGGUCCACAAGGCCAGCAGGGCGCUUGCACGUCCCUUCGAAGGUCCUGAUGAACGCUCUUCCCAUCUGUAGAUGCUUGAGGGGGCCAACUGGUUUAGCCACGCUCGCGCCGAGCCGUCGAGCAUCAGAGGGAGGUGCUUCGUGGCGACAUGGUCGUCCCCUCCUCCGAUCUGGACCGCCACUCGGUAGUCAUCCAGCCACGUUUCUGGCUUGGACUCUCCUGUGAACUUGCUAAUUCCUGUCACCAACCGGAAGUUGGGAGGGAUGUCAGCCGAACAGAUGGCUCAACUGAAACACUCGGGACCAGACACGAUGGCCCUGCUUCCACUCGGACGGUCGGUAUCGCGACCAUCGCGGUGGGUUCGACCUCUGUCGACUCUUCGCUGGGCAAUAUGUGCUCUUGCGUCGGGUCUUGGGUCGUAAGUGUCGCUGACUGAACGCCGAUCAUCAUGAUGUCGGGACCCAUAUGGGCCACCCCGCGGAGGGGUGCGUGAGCGGCGGCGAUCUUCAUGAAUCAUGGAACGACUGCCUCCCCUGUGGCGCUGAUGGGAACCAGGGCUGUGAACCGACCGAUGCGUAUUCGCGUGGAGGGAACUAUUAUAGAUCCGGUUGUGCGACUGGGAGAGCGCAGAAUUCUGCUGCUGCGCCGUGUGCAACAGGGCUCGGAUCUGCUCGAUUCCUCUACCAACCUCUGAAUUAGUCGGCUGGAGGGAAUCGGCUAUCUUGGCAGCUGCAGCCAAGUUGAGGAGUGGUGUGCGGAACAGCUCCACAUUGCUCCGCCGAGUGUGCCGACUAGCAGAACGGCGAGGUGGACGACGUGCGCCGGAUGCUUCGCCGAUCUCGUGCUCGUUUCGGCCAGCCUGACGGGGAUCUUCAUGGGAGUUGGCCAUGUGUACUUCUGCUGCGGGCCCGUGACCCGCAUACUCGGAAGGAAACUCAGUCGGAACCGAGUCCGAAUGCUGGGACGACGGGGCAACCACAACGGACUCAAGAACCGCCACUUGCGAAGAUGCGUUCUGGCGCGCCUGGGCGUGUUGCACCCAACGCUGGAGCCGCGGACGGCGGGACCGCUUGACGCGGCGCGUGACCGCGGUGUAGGUCGACACCGGAGCCGACCGCUGGAGAAGAAGAAUGCCGCGGGCGCCGGCACGGAACUGCGUAGCGCCGCAACGGGGAAGCGCCUCGAUGUCGAGGGGCGCAUCCCGAAGCCAUGCCGAAUCAUCGACGAUGAAGGAGAGAGCGCCGAAGAAGAUCUGGUGACCCAUGCUCGAACCUCCACCGGACGACAUGACGAAAGGAAGUAGUCGCAAACUCGCCGGAAGUCGCUUAGACGCCUACCCCAAGGUGGGCGCCAACUGUCGUGGGUAUAAGCCUGACAGUAGAUGUGUAGGUUACGAAUGAGAUGGGCAGAGUCCUAGCUACGGCGAGGUUGUAUGAGUUCGGUCCCCUCAGCGGUGGAGGUAACAGCCCUACGUCUUAGUGCUCUCGGAGCUUGCUGUCGAGUGGAAUAUGGAAUACAAUGAUUUGCUAACCCCUCUACCAGUGGGGGAGGGCGUCUUAUAUAGAGUGCGCUGCCCUCCACAACGAUUCCGAUACAGGGGUGGAGUAAUGGGGAUUGAAUGCGUACGUUACAGGUAACGUAUGCUCUAAAUGCUAAUAAAUGCACCCGGAAACGUAUGACAGUUUCCCUCCAGAGAGGUUACGAUGUACCGAGUGUAGCCAGUUGGUUAGCUUGGUAUCCUCCGAAUGCUAGUCUCCGACUGGAUGGUUGAGGACCUGUUACCAACUGGAUGAUGGGGACCCCUUAAUUCAGUCGGGACUGACUAGGGCCUUGUCCUUUGUGAGGGGUAGUCCUUGGGUAGGACCUAUAUGGCAGGCCUAUGACCCUACCCUAGGACUAUGACCCCAUCACCUAGUGUUGCUAUUAUCAAAGAUCUCUUAGCCGAAGACAUAGACGGGCAUGUUAUCAAAUUCUGUCAGGACUCCGCUAGAAUCGCUAAACCUCACACGAAAGACAAAUACGGACCUGUAGUUGGCCUGCCCGUUGUUUCUGUCAAGAUAGGUGAUCACUGUUAUCAUGGUUUAUGUGAUAUGGGUGCUAGUGUUGGUGCAAUACCCCGGUCCCUAUAUGAUGAAAUCAAAGAUGAGAUUGCACCUGCUGAGUUAGAACCCAUUGAUGUCACUAUUACGCUAGCUAAUAGAGACACUAUCUGCCCUGUGGGAAUUGUGAGAGAUGCAGAAGUCCUGUGUGGUAAGACGAAGUAUCCUACUGAUUUCCUCGUCCUUGCUACUGCACAAGAUAGCUUUUGUCCCAUCAUAUUUGGUAGACCCUUUCUCAACACUGCCAAUGCUCAUAUUGAUUGCAUUAAACACACUGUCACUGUUAGUUUCGAGGGUGUGUCUCAUGAAUUUAAUUUCUCCAAGUUUGGAAGACAACCCCAUGAAAAAGAGUCGUUUGGUAGGGAUGAAAUCAUUGCUCUUGCCUCUAUUAUCGUGCCUCCUACGGAUCCUUUAGAGCAAUAUCUGCUUCAGCAUGAAAAUGAUAUGCAUAUGGAUGAAAGAGAUGAGAUAGAUAAAAUUAUUUUAGAACAAUAUCCUAUUCUUAAGAAUAAUUUGCCUGUUGAACUGCUUGGGGAUCCUCCCCCACCAAAGGGUGAUCCUGUGUUUGAGCUUAAACAGUUACCAGAUACACUUAAGUAUGCCUAUCUUGAUGAGAAGGAGAUAUAUCAUGCUAUAAUUGGUGCUCACCUCUCGAAUCACGAAGAGAAGAAGUUAUUAAAAACUUUGAGGAAGCACCGUGCUGCUAUUGGAUAUACUCUUGAUGAUCUUAAGGGUAUUAGUCCCACUCUAUGUCAGCAUAAGAUUAAAACCGAUCCUGAUUCUAAGCCAGUCGCUGAUCAUCAACGAAGGUUAAACCCUAGGAUGAAAGAGGUCCUGAGAAAAGAAAUAUUAAAGCUUGUGGAAGCAGGAAUCAUUUAUCCUGAUGCUCAUAGUGAUUGGGUAAGUCCAGUACAUUGCGUACCUACGAAGGGAGGUAUCACCGUCGUUCCUAAUGAUAAGAAUGAACUAAUCCCACAGAGGAUUAUUACUGGCUAUAGGAUGGUGAUAGACUUCCGGAAACUGAACAAGGCAACCAGGAAAGACCAUUAUCCUUUGUCGUUUAUCGACCAAAUGCUAGAAAGGCUAUCUAAACGCACACACUUCCGCUUUCUAGACGGUUAUUCAGGUUUCUCGCAAAUACCUGUUGCACAAUCUGAUCAGGAUAAAACCACUUUCACCUGCCCCUUCGGUACCUUUGCUUAUAGACGUAUGCCUUUUGGCUUAUGCAAUGCACCUGCCACCUUUCAAAGAUGUAUGAUGGCUAUAUUCUCUGACUUUUGUGAAAAUAUUGUUGAGGUUUUCAUGGAUGAUUUCUCCGUUUACGGUUCUUCCUUUGACGAUUGCCUCAGCAACCUUGAUCGAGUCUUACAGAGAUGCAAAGAUACCAACCUCGUCUUGAACUGGGAGAAGUGCCACUUCAUGGUUAAUGAAGGCAUCGUCUUAGGACACAAAAUCUCUGAGAAAGGCAUUGAAGUUGAUAAUGCUAAGGUUGAUGCAAUUGAGAAAAUGCCUUGCCCCACAGAUAUCAGAGGUAUAUGAAGUUUCCUAGGUCAUGCUGGUUUCUACAGAAGGUUCAUUAAAUACUUCUCUAAGAUUUCUAGGCCUCUUACCAACCUCUUGCAGAAGGAUGUUCCUUUUGUUUUUGAUGAGGAUUGUGAGGAAGCUUUCGAAAUACUUAAGAAGGCCUUGAUAACCGCACCUAUUGUUCAACCACCUGAUUGGAACUUGCCCUUUGAAAUCAUGUGCGAUGCUAGUGAUUAUGUUGUUGGUGCUGUUCUAGGACAAAGAGUUGACAAGAAGUUGAAUGUCCUUCACUACGCUAGUAAAACUCUAGACAGUGCCCAAAGAAACUAUGCCUCUACGGAGAAGGAAUUUUUAGCAGUCGUGUUUGCAUGUGAAAAGUUCAGAUCUUAUAUAAUUGACUCCAAAGUCAUUAUUCACUCUGAUCAUGCUGCUAUUAAGUACCUUAUGGAGAAGAAGGACGCUAAGCCUAGGCUAAUCAGAUGGGUUCUCCUGCUACAGGAAUUUGAUUUGCACGUUGUUGACCGAAAGGGUGUUGAUAACCCUGUAGCAGAUAACUUGUCCAGGCUAGAGAAUGUCCUUGAUGACCCACGACCUAUUGAUGACAACUUUCCCGAUGAGCAACUGAAUGUCAUCUGCACUUCACAUAGUGCACCGUGGUAUGCUGAUUACGCAAACUAUAUCGUAGCCAAAUACAUACCACCCAGUUUCACCUACCAGCAAAAGAAGAAAUUGUUCUUUGAUUUGAGACACUACUAUUGGGAUGAUCCUCACCUUUAUAACUAAGGAGUAGAUGGUGUUAUUAGACGUUGUGUGCCUGAACAUGAACAGGGACAGAUCCUGCAAAAGUGUCAUUCGGAAGCAUACGGAGGACACCAUGCUGGAGAUAGAACUGCUCAUAAGGUAUUGCAAUCAGGUUUCUAUUGGCCCACUCUCUUCAAGGAUGCCCGUAAGUUUGUCUUGUCUUGUGACGAAUGCCAAAGAAUAGCGAACAUCAGUAAACGUCAGGAAAUACCUAUGAACUAUUUGCUUGUCAUUGAACCAUUUGAUGUCUGGGGCUUUGAUUAUAUGGGACCCUUUCCGAGUUCCAAUGGGUAUACUCACAUCUUAGUUGCUGUUGAUUACGUCACUAAGUGGGUAGAAGCUAUCCCCACUAGAAAUGAUGAUCACCACACCUCUAUUAAGAUGCUUAAAGAAGUCAUUUUCCCAAGAUUUGGAGUCCCUAGAUAUUUGAUGACUGAUGGCGGUUCACACUUCAUUCAUGGUGUUUUCCACAAGAUGCUCGCUAAGUAUGAUGUCAACCAUAGAGUUUCAUCUCCUUAUCAUCCUCACUCUAGUGGUCAAGUGGAGUUGAGUAAUAGGGAGAUCAAAUUGAUCUUACAAAAGACUGUCAAUAAAUCUCAAAAGAAUUGGUCUAGCAAACUUGACGAUGCACUAUGGGCUUAUAGGACUGCUUAUAAGAAUCCCAUGGGCAUGUCGCCGUAUAAAAUGGUUUACGGUAAGGCCUGUCAUUUACCUCUUGAGCUAGAACACAAAGCUUAUUGGUCAAUCAAAGAGCUCAACUUCGAUUUUAAACUUGCCGGUGAGAAGUGGUUGUUUGAUAUCAGCUCAUUAGAUGAAUGGAUAGCCCAUGCAUAUGAGAAUGCCAAGUUGUUCGAGGAAAAGCUUAAGAGAUGGCACGAUAAAAGAAUACAAAAAUGUGAGUUCAAUGUAGGUGAUUAUGUCCUGCUAUACAAUUCUCGCUUAAGAUUCUUCGCAGGCAAGCUUCUCUCUAAAUGGGAAGGUCCCUACGUUGUCGAGGAAGUAUAUCAUUCUGGUGCCAACAAAAUCAAUAACACGGAAGGUAAUUUUCCUAGAGUGGUAAAUGGGCAAAGAAUCAAGCAUUGUAUCUCUGGUACUCCCAUAAAUGUUGAGAGCAAUAUCAUCAAUAUCAUAACUCCAGAGGAGUACAUAAGGGAUGUUUAUCGGCCUGUUUCAGACUCUGAAAACAAAGAGGUAUGUCUUUCGAUAAGUAAUUGGACUCCAAAACUUUUCCAGUAGGAAAUUUUCUCCGUUUUGGAAUUUAUGGAAAAAUAGAAAAAUAAAAAGCAGUCCGGAGAGCGCACGAGGCGGCCACAAGCUUGGUAGCCGCGACCUCCCCCCUAGUCGCGGCUACACGGCUUGUGGGCACCUCGUGUCGCCCCCCCCCCCCGAGACUCCGUUUUCUUGCGGAGCACUCCUUCUGGUCCAGAAAAAAUCAUUAUAUAUACGCCCGAGGGUUUUGAUCUCCGUAUCGCGCAGUUUUCCUCUGUUUUCAUUUCGAGCCUGUUUCUGCCGCAGAUCUAGGUCAAGAUGUCUUCUCAGGAUUCAGAGGGGGAGAGCUAUGAGGCUGAUUACCUUGCUAACCCCAAGGUCUAUGGGGACUUGCAACGAUAUGGCUGGACCACUGAUGAGGAAGAGGACUAUGCUCCCUAGAGGAAGGAACAAACGAGUUCCGAUGAAGAGGAGGCUCCUCUACCUCAACCUGGACGCACUCAUGUGGAGUUCAAGAAGUCGAGCCUCCCUGACCCAAGGAAGAAGCCUAAGAACUUGUUUAUCCCUUCUCGUUUCUUGCAGGAGAUUAAGCAGGAACUUUGUCAAAGGGUUUUGAAGCUUGAGGAGGAAAAUGAUGAUCUGAGAGAGCAGAAUUUCAUGCUCAAGUGGAAAUUAGACAAGCUCAAGACCUCUGCAACAACUCCUCCGUCACCACCAAAGGAAGACAACUAAGCAUUGGUAUGGGAAACUCCCUUGGCUUGUGCCAAGCUUGGGGGAGUUUCCCUGGUAUUGUAUCACCUUUAUAUCUUUUGCUUUUACCUUUGUUUUAGUUCUUUCUUUUUCAGUUUUUACUUUCUUAUCUUAGUGGAAUAAUUCUUUAGUGUUUAGUUUGAGUCUUUUGCCUUGUGUCUCCCCCGAUGUAUUCGAGCUUGCGAGAUAUAUAAUAAAGAGUAUCUUAGUCAAGUGCUUUGUUUUGUGUCGUGAUCAAAAGUAUGAAAAGAACGAUAGCAUGAAAGAUCAUGAGAUGAUCUUAUGGAAAGUGAUAGCUUCACAUAUAACAAGUAUAAUGAUUGAAACUUGUUGAGAAUAGACCAACAUAGACCCCAGUCAUUGUUGCAAUUAAUAAGGAGUAAUAAGGAAAGAGAGGUUCACAUAUAAAUAUAUCAUCUUAGACACUUUCUAUAAUUGUGAGCACUCACCAAACUAUUACAUGCUUAGAAGUAGAUGUUGGACAAGGAAGACAACAUAAUGAAUUGUGUUUUCUUGGUUCCAAACAAUGUUAUAUGUCUAGAGAUCCCUUAGCAUGUGACGAUUGCUUCCACCUCAUAUUAGCCAAAACUUCCGUACUAAGUAGAAAUACUACUUGUGCAUCCAUAAACCUUCAACGCAGUUUUGCCAUGAGAGUCCACCAUACCUACCUAUGGAUUGCGUAAGAUCCUUCAAGUAAGUUGUCAUUGGUGCAAGCAAUAAAAAGUUGCUAUCUAAAGUAUGUAUGAUUUAUCAGUGUGUGGAAAAUAAGCUUUGUACGAACCUGUGAUGAGGAAGACAUAAAAGCGACAGACUGCAUAAACUUCUUUAUCACAGGGGGCAAUAUAAAGUGAUGUUCCUUUAUACUAAGAGGUCGUAUAUCCAAACCUUAAAAGUGCAUGACAACCUCUGCUUCCCUCUGCGAAGGGCCUAUCUUGUACCUUUACUUUUGUCCUUGUGAAAGUCAUGGUGAUCAACACCAAUUCCCUAUUCCGUCUUCAUCUUGGUGAACGUCAUAUGCUAGGGAAAGAUCUAUAUUCAUAUAUCAACUUGGAGAUGAGUACUUAUGCUUUAUUAUUGUUGACUUUACCCUUGAGGUAAAUGGUUGGGAGGCAAAAUUAUAAGCCCCUAUAUUUCUCUGUGUCCAACUGAAACUUUGAUACCAUGAGUACCACGUGAGUUAUAACAAUUGUGGAAAACAAAAGAGAUGAUUGAGUAUGUGGAAUUGCUUUACAAGCUCUUAUUUGACUCUUUCUUAUGUUAUGAUAAAUUGCAAUUGCUUCAAUGACUAUGGACUGUUGUUGGCUACUUCUAGGUAAGGUUUUUGAUUCAUACUUUGCUUUGUGAAGGAAUUGUUACUUUCCCAUAAGAAUCUUUAUGAUGUAUUGCUGUUCUAAGUGUGAUCAUGAUGCCCUCAUGUCUGUAUUAUGUUUUAUCGAUACCUUCAUCCCUAAACAUGUGGACAUGUUUGUGGAUCUUGGUUUUCGCUUGAGGACAAGCGAGGUCUAAGCUUGGGGGAGUUGAUACGUCCAUUUUGCAUCAUGUUUUCAUGUUGAUAUUUAUCGCUUUAUGGACUGUUAUUAUACAUUGUGGUACCAUACUUAUGCCUUUUCUCUCUUAUUUUGCAAGGUUUAUUGGAAGAGGGAGAAUACCCGCAACUGGAAUUCUGGAAUGGAAAAGGAGCAAGUCUGAGUCCUCUAUUCUGCACAACUCCAAAUGCCCUGAAAAUCAACAUGGAACUUUUUGGGAAUAUAUAAAAAACAUUGGGCGAAAGAAGUACCAGAGGGGAGCUGCCAGGGGCCCACAAGCCUGGUAGCCGCGGCCUGCCCCCCUGGCCAUGGCUACAGGGCUUGUGGGCACCCUGGUGGCCCACUGGCACCCCUCUUCUGCUAUAUGAAGGGUUUCGUCCGGAAAAAAAUCAAGGCGGAGCUUUUUCGAGGAGGCGCCGCCGGCAUGAGGCGGAACUUGAGCAGAACCAAUCUAGAGCUCUGGCAGGACGAUCCUGGCCGGGAAACUUCCCUCCCGGAGGGGGAAAUCAUUGCCAUCGUCAUCACCAACACUCCUCUUAUCGGAGGGGACUCGUCUCCAUCAACAUCUUCAUUAGCAUCAUCUCAUCUCCAAACCCUAGUUCAUCACUUGUAACCAAUCUCCGUCUCCCGGCUCCGAUUGGUACUUGUAAGGUUGCUAGUAGUGUUGAUUACUCUUUGUAGUUGAUGCUAGUUGGAUUACUUGGUGGAAGAGUUUAUGUUCAGAUCCUUGAUGCUACUCAUUACCUCUCUGGUCAUGAAUAUGAUUAUGCUUUGUGAGUAGUUACUUUUGUUCCUGAGGACAUGGGAUAAGUCAUGCUAAUAGUAGUCAAGUGAAUUUGGUAUUCGUUCGGUAAUUUGAUAUGUUGUAUGUUGUUUUUCCUCUAGUGGUGUUAUGCGAACGUCGACUACAUAACACUUCACCAUUAUUUGAGCUUAGAGGAAGGCAUUGGGGAGUAGUAAGUAGAUGAUGGGUUGCUAGAGUGACAGAAUCUUAAACCCCAGUCUAUGCGUUGCUUCGUAAGGGGCUGAUUUGGAUCCACUAGUUUAAUGUUAUGGUUAGACUUUGUCUUAAUUCUUCUUUCGCAAUUGCGGAUGCUUGCGAGAGGGGUUAAUCAUAAGUGGGAUGCUUGUCCAAGUAAGUUCAGUACCCAAGCGCCGGUCCACCCACAUGUCAAACUAUCAAAGUAACGAACGCGAAUCAUAUGAACAUGGUGAAAACUAGCAUGACAGAAAUUCCCUUGUGUCCUCGGGAGAGAUUUUCCUCCUAUAAGACUUUGUUCAGGCUUGUCCCUUGCUACAAAAGGGAUUGGGCCACUUUGCUGCACCGUUUCUACUACUUGUUACUUUUUACUUUUCACCUGCUACGUUUCACCUCACUACACCAUCAAUCGUUACCGCUACUUUCAGUCCUUGCAGUUAUUACCUUGCUGAAAACCGUUUAUCAGAGCCUUCUGCUCCUCGUUGGGUUCGACACUCUUACUUAUAGAAAGGACUACGAUUGAUACCCUAUACUUGUGGGUCAUCAACUAUCAUUUCCAUAAUUUAUACCCAUCAAUAUAAGCCAAAAAACUCUAGGAUAAGUAUAUAACAAAACUAUGACAUCAAUCUAUCCAAACAGAACAGUUUGUAGCAAUCAAUUUAACAAAGUGUACUUAGGUAACUCCCAAAAUUAUGAUAAUUUACUACAUGAAAAAAAAUUGUAUGAAAAUACUUUGUAAAAAAUUCAGAAUCUUUCCAUUUUUGAGUAAAAUAUGAUAAUUCAAAGACUACAUCAAAAGUUUCUGUUUUUGUAUAGCACACAUCACACAUGCAAUUCAAGUAUUCUAAAGGCAAUUAAUGGAACUUAUUAUUGAAAAAUAAGAUUAUAAACAGAAAAAAAAUUACUACCAAAAUAAAAUGACGCUCCAAGCAAAACACAUAUCAUGCGAUAAUAAAAUAUAGCUUCAAGUAAAAUAUAUCGAUAAUGUUGGAGACGAAAGAGGGGAUGCCAACCGGGGCAUCCCCAAGCUUAGAUGCUUGAGUAUUCCUUGGAUAUUACCUUGGGGUGCCUUGGGAAUCCCCAAGAUUAAGUUCUUGCUUCUCUUUAUUCUCCUCAUAUCGGUAUCUCACCCAAAACUUGAAAACUUCAAUCAGAGAAAACUUAACAAAACUUCAUGAGAGGGAUUAGUGUAAUAAAGAUAGUUUAUUCAUUUAGGUACUCCCAACACAAGAUUCAUAAUUGUUCCAACAUAAUACCUACUGUAUUAUAUCAUUACCAUAAUUUCUAUCGCUCAAUAUAAGCUCUGGAAACGCUAAAACAAGCAAAGUAUGCAUGCAAAACAGAAUUUGUCAUAAACAAAACAGUCUAUGAAGAUCUAAAUGAACAUCGUACUUCCCUGACUCUAAAUAUUAUGAAUCAUUAGGAAAACACAAAAAAUUCACAUACAAAACUGUGAAAAAAAUUAAGAAAUUUUUGAGCAUCCACUAAAGUCACGGAAAUUCCGCACUUCACGUAAAAUUUUCUGUUUUUGCACAUAAUCAAACGAACAAGUAUCCGCACUAUCCCAAAGGCUUUACUUGGCACCUUAUUGAAAUAAAAGACACAAAACAUGAUUACUAAAGUAGAUUAAUCAUGUGAACACACAGAAAUAUAAAGUGUAAACAUUGAGUUGUCUCCCAACAAGCGCUUACCUUUAAAGCCUUUUGGCUAGCCAUGAUGAUUUCAAUGACGAUCGCAUAAAAAUUAAUAAUUGAAACAUGAAAAAGAGCAUCAUGAAUCCCAUGAAAAGAACAUUUAAGUCUAAUCCAAUUCCUAUGCAUAGGGAUUUUGCGAGCAAACAAUUCAUGGGAUCAAUAAUCAACUAGCAUAAGAAGGCAAAACAAGCAUAACUUAAAGUUUUUCAACACAUAGAGAGGAAACUUGAUAUUAUUGCAAUUCCUACAAGCGCAUGUUCCUCCAUCAUAAUAAUUUUCAGUAACAUCAUGAAGGAAUACUACAAUAUAACUAUCAUAUAAAUAAUUAUCUUCAUGAUCCACAAACAUUGAAAAUUUAUCACUCUCCACAUAAGUAAAUUUCUUCUCAUUCAUAAUAGUGGGAGCAAACUCAACAAAAUAACUAUCAUGUGAUACUGCAGUUGCAUUAUCCAAUUGAAAAUUAAAAUCAUGAUGACAAUUUCAUGGUUAUUAUUACUUUUUAUAUCAUACAUGCCAUCACCAUAAUCAUAGUAGAUAGCAACUUUUUUUCAUAGUCAAUUGAAACUUCUUCCAAAAUAGUGGGCUCGUCACUCAAUAAAGCCAUGACCUCUACAAAUCCACUUUUAUCAUAAUGAAAAGAUUCAACACCCUCCAAAAUAGUGGGAUCAUUAGUUACUAGAGUUGACACUCUUCCAAACCUAGUUUCAUAAAUCUAAUCAUCAUAAAUAGGAGGCAUUCUAUUCUAUCAUCAUAAUAAAUUUGCUCAUUAAAACUUGGGGGGCUAAAAAUAUCAUCUUCAUCAAACAUAGCAUCCCCAAGAUUGUGGCUUUGCAUACAUUAGCAUCAUGGAUAUUUAGAGAAUACAUACUAACAAUAUUGUUAUCAUGCUCAUCAUUCAAGGAAUUCACAUUAAGCGUUUUUAUAAAUUCUUCCUCUAACAAUUCAACACAAUUUUCCAAACCAUCAUUUUCACGAAAGACAUUAAAAAGGCGAAGAAAUUGAGGCACACUAAAUUCCAUUUUUUGUAGUUUUGUUUUAUAAAAGUAGACUAGUUUAAAACAAGAAACUAAGAGAUUUAAUUGUAAGAUCUAAAUAUAUACCUUGAAGCACUCACCUCCCGAACAACGAUGCCAGAAAAGAGCUUGACAUCUAUUACGCAACUUUAUUCUUGUAGAUGUUGUUGGGCGUCCAAGUGCAGAGUUUUGUAGGGUUGUAGAAAAUUUCCCUCAAGUGGAUGACCUAAUGUUUAUCAAUCCAUGGGAGGUGUAGGAUGAAGAUUGUCUCUCUCAAACAACCCUGCAAUCAAAUACAAGAAAUCUCUUGUGUCCCCCAACACACCCAAUAAAAUGGUAAAUUCUAUAGGUGCACUAGUUCGGCGAGGAGAUGGUGAUACUAGUGUAGUAUGGAUAGUAGAAGUAGAAUUUUAUAAUCUGAAUAAAUAAAAAUAACAAGGUAACAAGUAGUAAAUAGUGAGAAAAAUAUUAUAUAAAUGCUUGGAAAUAAGGCCUAGGGUUCAUACUUUCACUAGUGCAAUAUAUCAACAACGCUAACAUAAUAGAAUCAUAUGGUCAUCGCUCAACUCGCAACAAAGAAUCACUCCAAGGUUCAUAUCUAGCGGAGAACAUAAGAUGAAAUUGUUGUAGGCAGCAAACCACCUCAAAGUUACCCUUUCCGAUCAAUCCAUUGGGCUAUUCCUAUAAGUGUCACAAACAUCCCUGGAGUUCGUACUAGAAUAAAACCUAUGAUCAAUGUUGAGGAUAUCGCUUAUUGUUAUCGUCUUGGUGAGUUGGCGAUUAGAGAUUAAUCAGGAAUUGGCCGAUUAUUAGAUUUUACCGGUCACUCAUAGUUGUGGUCUGCGUUGGGUUUUCAGUGAAGAGGAAUGGGUGAUCUAGCACAUUAUAGAGAAGUAUUUCCCUAAGUAGAGAACAAAGGUUUAUUAAACCAAUAGGAGUAACAACCAGCCCCCGUCUUCAGCGACUGCACACAAAGAAGCAAACACUUGCACCCAACGCGCGUAAGAGGGUUGUCAAUCCCGAUGGACUCAUUUUUUGCAAUCAAGCAAAGUGUGUAGAUGAAAGUGAAACCAAAGUAAAUAAAAAGUAAAUAAAGGCAGCAAGGUAAUUGUAGUGUUUUUAAACUUAUAAGUGAAUAGACCUGGGGGCGUAGUUUUCCCUAAUGGCAUCGCUCAUUUAGUAGGCAUACGGUGGGUAAAAAAUUUACUCUUGGGCAGUUGGUAGAAAAGCACAUGGUUAUGUGAUAUUCACGGCAAUGAUCAUGUAUAUAUAGGCAUCACAUUCAUAAUAAAAUAGGCAUGCAUCUAGAGUAUUAAGUAAAACAGAGUAAUCCUUGAGAACAAUGACAUGAUGUAGACAAAGAGAACUCAAUCAAUACGAAUGAAUUAACCCUUUCGUUUUAUCCUUAGUGGCAACAAUACAAAGAUGUGUCCUUUUCCCUUUCUGUUAUCGGGAUAUAGAGCUCCGCCAGAUUGAACCCACUACAACGCACCCCUCUCACUUAAAAAUAUCAAUCUAGUUAGCCAAACUAUUUCAAAAGAUCGGAGAGAUUUACAAAUCUAUAAUAAUCGUGCAAAUAAGAAUCAUAAUAGAAUUCAGAGAAGACUCAAAUAUUUAUCAUGAAUAAUCUAAACAUAAACCCACAAUUCAUUGGAUCCUAACAAAGGCACCACACAAAAUAAUUACAUCGGGUAGAUCAAAGCGAAGAUGUGAUGACCAUUGUAUUGAAGAUCAAGAGAGAGAUAAGCAUCUAGGUACUAACUACGGACCCGUAGGUUUGUGGUGAACUACUCACACAUCACCAUGGGAGCUGCAAGGUUGAUAUAGAGGUCCUUAGUUAUUGAACCCCCUCUCGCAGGACAUCGGAACAGGGCUCUAGAUGGUCACACGAUGGAACGAAGACUUGCGGCGGCGAGAAAAGUGUUUCUCGUGGCUCCCAUAGGGUUUGGGGGAAGUUUAGAAUUUUUAGGCCAAAGAGGGACGUGGGGGGCCACACGAGGGGGGAAAUAGACAUGAGGGCGUGGCCAGCCCCAUGGGCGUGCCCUAUAAUGUGUUCCCUCCCUCGUGCAUCGUAUAGUCUCCUUCCUAAGCUUCGAGGUCUUCUUUUGGUCCAGAAAAAAUCAUAAAAAAGUCUCAUGGUAAUUGGACUCUGCUUGGUACUAUAAACCUGAAAAAGUCAAAAAACAUGCAAAAAACAACAACUGCCACUGGGCACUGGAUUAAUAGGUUAGUGCUCAAAACUAAUAUUAGCCGGUAUAUAAACACCCUACAAGCAACCUAGAAUGAUAAUAUUAUAGCAUGGAACAAUCAAAAGUUAUAGAUACAUUGGAGAUGUAUCAGCAUCCCCAAGUUUAAUUCCUGCUUGUCCUCGAGUAGGUAAAUGAUAAAAACAGUUUUUUUUGAUGUGACAUGCUACCCAACAUGUAGUCUAUUGCAGGUUUGAUAAUUGAGAAACGAUGAGUUAAUAAAUAUUACAAUAGUAAUAUUCAUAAACAUAAGCAAUAUAAUCACCAAGUUUAAAAAUAUACGAUCCUUAAAUAAUGUUCACCCCCUAUUCAUUUUAUCAUAUAAGCAUAGCAUGGUUGUGUCUUGACCUCAUAAAUACAAAUGUUAAGCACCACAAUGUCAAGCCAGGCAAUUGGAUCAUACUCUUUAAUGCAUUCAACUUGUUAUUACUCACACAAUAUAUGAGUGUGAACCAUGUAUAUAUCAUAAAGGUGGAAUAGAAUAUGGUGAUAUCUUUUAAAGGGGUGAAAGUGGCAAAGAAAGUCUCGCAUCAACUAGGUGUAUCAACGGGCUAUGGAGAUUCCCAUCAAAAGAUAUCAAUGUGAGGACUAGGGAUUGCCAUGCAAUGGAUGCAUUAGAGCUACAAGUGUAUGAAAUCUCAACUGAAGUUAAGUGGGUGUGCAUCCAACUUGCUUGCUCAUGAAGACAUCGAGCAUUUUAGGAAGCCCUCAUUGGAAUAUACAAGCCAAGUUUUAUAAUGAAAAACUCCCACUAGCAUAUGGAAGUGACAAAACAAGAGACUCUAUGUAUGAAGAACAUGGUGCCACUUUGAGGCACAAGUGUGGAGAAAGAAGUAGUAGCAUUAUCCCUUCUCUCUUUUCUCUCAUUUCUUUCUUUCUUUUCUCUUUUUUUUACUUUUUCCCUUUUUUGUCCGGAGUCUCAUCCCGACUUGUGUGGGAAUCAUUGACUCCAUCAUCCUUUGCUCACCGAGACAGUGCCCUAAUAAUGAUGAUUAUCACUCUUUUAUUUACUUACAACACAACAUGAAAAACUGUAGUAUGACUCUAUAUGAAUGGCUUUGGUAGUUUACCAGGAUGUGCAAUGAUCAAGCAUAACAUGUAUAAAAAUGAUGAACGGUGGCUUGACACAAACACUAUGUCAACUUAAUUACAUGAUCAUGCAAAGCAAUAUGACAAUGGAAGUAUAAAUCAUAUGAUGUUAUGGUGGAAGUUGCAUGGCAAUAUAUCUUGAAUGUUUAUGGAAAUGCCAUGAUAGGUAGGUACGGUGGAUGUUUUGAGGAAGAUAUAAUGAUGUUUAUAUGAAAUAGAUCAUAUCAUGUCAUGGGUUUUGGGUGCACCGACGAAAGUAGCAUGGUCCUUGUGGUGAGAAUGGGCAAUGCACGGUACACAAGAGGCUAGCAAAUAUGUGGAGGUGAGAGUGCGUAUAUCCAUGGAUUCACAUUAGUCAUAAAAACUCACAUACGUAUUGCAAGAUUUUAUUAGCUCUCUCGAAGCAAAGAACUACUUGCAUACCCCUAGGGAGGAGGUUGGUAGGAGUUAACCAUCGCACGCCCCCGACAUAAACAACACUAGGAUUUCAACGAGGAAUAAGGAUGCUCACACAUCAUCACCAUUCCAUAAAAAAAUUGGAUGAACAACAAGUUAACAACCUGUAAUUCAUGAUACUUAUACUACCCAAUGAUCAUGCACUCAUGCUAUUUCACAUUACCAUAUUAAUAUCACUAAUCAUGAUUUCUCUUUUAUGUGCUACAUGUGGUUUUGAUUAUGCACUCAUUGAAUACCUAUUAUUUUUUGGACUAGUCUUAUAACCCAUGAAAAUUACCAUCGCUAUUUAUUAACUAUCAAACAAAUAUAAGUGAAUAAUGAUAAUGCAAUUAUUUAUUUAAAAUCUAUACACCACCAUGCUCUAAAAGAUAUAAGUGAAGCACUAGAGCAACUCCUAAGCUCAAAAGAUAUAAGUGAAGCACAUAGUAUUCUAAUAAAUCAUGGUGAUCUUGUGUAUCUCUCAAGUGGGUGUAUUCAAAGAACAAUAAUUGUGGAAAACUAAAACAAAAGAAAACUAAAGCAAACGAUGCUCCAAGAAAAACUCAUAUCAUGUGAUGAAUAAAAAUAUAGCUCCAAUUUACCUACCCAUGGAUUCACUCGAAAGAGGGGAUGCCUUCCGGGGCAUCCCCAAGCUUAGACCCUUGAGUAUUCCUAGAAUAUUACCUUGGGGUGCCUUGGGCAUCCCCAAGCUUAGGCUCUUGCCACUCCUUAUUCCUUCAUCCAUCGUCAUAACACCCAAUACUUGAGAAUUUCAGCACACAAAACUCAACAGAAACUUCGUGAGAUCCAUUAGUAUAAUAAACAUAUCAAAUACUUUAGGUACUGUUAUAAAUUGGUUCGUAUUUUAUUAUUGUAUAAGUACUGUAUUCUAAAUUCUCCAAGACUUAUACCCCCCCGAUACUGUCCAUGGCAUCAUCAAAACAAGCAAACUCUGGAAGCAAAAAUAGAAUCUGUCUAAAACAGAAGAGUUUGUAAUGAUAUAAUUAAGUACCAAACUUCUCGAACUCAAAAAACUUCUGAAAUAUAGGACGACAUGAGGAAUUUGUAUAACAAUACUAUGUAAAAAAAUCAGAUCAAAAGGGCGUUCCAGUAAAAUCAUAGAAAUUCUCUAGUGGACGUCAAAAUUUCUGGUUUUGCACUGCAUCAAUUCUACUAUCAUUCAAAUCAUCCCAAAUGCUUUAUUGGCAUAAACACUAAUUGAAACAUAAAAACACAAUCAUUAAAUAGGAAACAAUCAUGUUAUCAAACACAAACAUAAAAUUAAGAUAACUAUUAGGUUGCCUCCCAACUAGCGCUAUUGUUUUACGCCCCUAGCUAGGCAUGAUGGAUAUGAUUCAAGUAUUGUCAUCUUUGAAACUCCGCCCAUAAGUAUCAUUCAUGGUAGAUUCAUAAGGUGGUUUGAUUCUCUUUAUAGGGAAGUGUUCCAUCCCUUUUUUAUGGGAAUUAGAAUCGUAUGUUUCCCUCUUUUAUGUCAAUUAAUGCACCUAUAUUCGUAGAACAAUUCUCCCAAGUAUUGAUGGACAAGAUGGGUUGGAAUCAAUAUCAAGAACUAUAAAAUCUACAAGCACAUAAUUUCUAUUAGCAAUUAUGAGGAUAUCAUUUAUUCUUUCCAUAGGUUUCUUAAUAGUAGAAUCCACAAGAUGUAAAUUAAGGGAACACUCAUGAAUGUUAGUGAGACCAAGUACAUCACAUAAAGAUUUAGGUAUAGUUGAAACACUAUCACCUAGUUCACACAAGGCUUUGCAUUCGCAUUCUUUGAUUUCAAUUUUAGUAGUAGCUUCCCACUAAUCAUGCGAAUUUCUAGGAAUAGAGACUUCUAACUCAAGUUUUUCAUCAUAGGCUUUUACCAUAGCUUCUCCUAUAUGUUGAGUAAAAGCUUUAUUUUGUUCAUAAGCAUUGAGUGAGUUAAUGAUGGAUUGCAGCAAGGAAAUAUAUUCUACUAAACAACAAUUAUCAUAAUUAAAAUCCGUGUUAUCCAAGAUAGUGGUUACAUCGCUAGUUAAAGUUUUAACCUCCCCAAACCCACUUUUUCAGUUUUAUCACUAUAGUCAUCACCCUCCAAGCAAUUGGAACACUCUCUAGCUAGAGUUAACUCAUCUCCAGUCCCUUUAUCGUUCAAUUUCAGAUUAGUAAACAAUGAUUCAAUAGGAAAAGUACCAAGCAGUUCAAGAUCUUCAUCAUGAUUACUAAUGGAGAGAAUUACGGGUUAGCAGCCAUCCUAUUCACUAGAGUGGUUUGUUUAUCUAAAAUCUUCCGUAUUAAUACUUCAGUUUGAGAAAAUUGUAGUUGAAGAUUACAUACUUAUUGAUUGACUUCAUCAAGUUGUUUACUAAUUGCAUCAAGUAUAGUUGAGUGUUACUUAAUUUUCAGCAAAAAAUUAAUUGUGCUCAUAUUAUGGGAUCAUGAAAGUUUUCAUGGAGUUUUCAAUUCAGACCUCUUUUGGUAGUAGAAAAUUUUAUAGAAUCUAUCUUGUGACAUGGUGACCGAGCAAGCAAAGUAACAAGCAGGACAAGUAAACUAGCGAGCAAAGAAGUAAACUAGUGACUAGCAAAAAUACAUAUCUUUGUAUUUUUUUUAUUUUUAUGAAGCAAGCUAAAUAUAACAACAAAUAAAAAGAAUAACAAGUGAAUGAUAAUUUAUGCAAAGUUACUUGACAGUAGGUUGGUGGUACUCCUCGGCUACAGCGCCGUAAAUCCUUCCUCAUACUUGUGAUCUGCUUUGGCUUUUCUGUGAAGAGGAACAAGUGAUGCAACACAGUAUACAUACGUAUUUCCCACGGUAGAGAACCAAGGUUUAUGGAACCAAUAGGAGUAACAACCAGCCCCGGUCUUCAGCGACUGCACAAAGAGAAGCAAACACUUGCUCCCAAUGCGGGCAAGAGGGUUGUCAAUCCUGUUGGACUCGUUUUUUGCAAGCAAGUAAAGUGUUUAUAUGAAGGUUGAUAAAUUCAAAGGAAAUAGAAAGUAAAUAAAGGUAGCGAGGUAAUUGUAGUGUUUGUGAAAUUAUAAGUGAAUAGACCCGGGGGUCGUAGUUUGCCCUAAUGGAAUCUCUCAUGUAGAAGGCAUAGGUGGGUAAACAAAUUAUUGUUGGGCAAUUGAUAGAAAAGUGCAUAGUUAUGUGAUAUUCACGACAAUAAUCAAAUAUAUAUAUAGGCAUCACGUCCAUAAGCAAAUAGGUUGAUUCCUGUCUGCACCUAUUACUAUUACUCCACCCGUCGACCGCUAUCCAGCAUGCAUCUAGAGUAUUAAGUAAAUGGAGAACAAUGAGAUGAUGUAGACAAAGAGAACUCAAUCAAUAUGAAUUAACCCCAUCGUUUUAUCCUUAGUGGCAAAAAUACAAAGACAUGUCCUUGUUACUUUCCGUCAUUGGGAUAUAAAACCCCGCCAAAUUGAACCCACCACAACCCACCCCUCUCACUGAAGAAAUAUCAACUUAGUUGGCCAAACUAUUUCAAUAGAUUGAAGAGAUUUGCGAAGCUAUAACAAUCAUGCAAAUAAGACUUAUAAUAGAAUUCAGAGAAGACCCAAAUUUUUAUCAUGAAUAAUCUGAACAUAAACCCACAAUUCAUCGGAUCCCGACAAACGCACCUCACAAAAGUAUUACAUCGGAUAGAUCAAAACGAAGAUGCGGUGAUUAUUGUAUUGAAGAUCGAGAGAGAGAGAGAGGGAGAGAGAGAGAUAGCCAUCUAAGUAUUAAAUACGGACCCGUAGGUAUGUGGUAAACUACUCACACAUCACCAUGGGAGCAACAAGCUUGAUGUAGAGGUCCUCGCAAUCUGUCCCCCCUCCAGCAGGGCAACGGAACAGGGCUCCCCAUCAGCACACGACGGAACAAAGAUUUGCGGCGGCGGAAAAAGUGUUUCUGAUGGCUACCAUAGGGUUUUGGAAUAUUUUAGAAUUUAUAGGCUAGAGAGGAACGUCGGGAGCCACACGAGGGGGCAUGACAUAUCAGAGUUCGGCCACCCCCUGGGCGUGCAAUGUUGUGUGCUCCCUCCCUCGUGCAACGUCUGGUCUCCUCCAAAAGCUUUCAGGUAUGAUAAAAAAGUUUCGUGGCAAUUGGACUCCGUUUGGUACUGUAAACUAACAAGCCAAAAACAUGUAGAAAAUCACAACUCGCACUUGGCACUGGGUUAAUAGGUUAGUGCUCAAAAGUAAUAUUAAUUGGUAUAUAAACACCCUAAAAGCAUCCUAGAAUGGUAAUAUUAUAAAAUGGAACAAUACAUAAUUAUAGAUACAUUGGAGAGCUAUCAGUCACAUAUUAAUCGAUCAUUUUUUGCAAAUCCUUGGUUCCCAAUACUAAAUUUUGCUAUAUUCAAACACCAAAACAAUAUUGGAGUGAAGUUUUACCUUGAUUCCUAAUGUUUGAAUUCUCGUAUAAUGAUAACCAAAAUAAGACAACAAUACAUAUUGCAUAACAACGCCAACAAAACACAAAUAAACAUAAUUUUUGCAAACAUAGUGAUAUGAAUAGGCCCAAUCUAUCGUAGGUUCCAGAUAAAUCGCUUGCGAGAGUGAUAAAUCUGCCCAAACAAUAAAUGGUGAAGAUAAGGCACAAUCUUAUCGGUCACCCCCUCAGUAGCGAUAAAUCAAACAAUUAAUCGCUGAAUCUGACGUUUUUUUGAACAAUGCCUAGGAUACACGUCAAUCAACCCUAAUGCCACCUAGAUACUCCAAUGUCACCUCAAGUAUGCGUAGAUUAAUUAUUUGACAUGCAUCAAGCAAUUUCAGGUUUAUCAUAUGCAAUCCAACAGAAAGAACUUCAAAGAGUAUCCCAAGAUUUCUAUCAGAGAAAGUAGGACAAGAACGUGUAUCAACCCCUAUGCAUAGAUUACAGCAUUGUCACCACGGAAAUCUGCAAGUUGAGUACAAAGAUAUACAUCAAGUGAUCUCAAAUCCAAUAUUCAAUCCAACAUAACAAAAUCUCAAGGGGAAAGAUUCAAUUCAUCACAUCAAGAUAGCAAGGGAAGAACACCAUAUGAGCCAACAAUAUUAACAAAGCUCAUGAUACAUCAAGAUCAUACCAUCUCAAAAAUCUCAGAGAGGGAGAUCAAACACAUAGCUACUGGUACAUACCCUCAGCUCCGAGGGUGAACUACUCCCUCCGCGGCAUGGACACCGUCGGGAUGAUGAGGAUGGCAACCGGUGAUGAUUUACCCCUCCGGCAAGGUACGAGAAAGACUCCCGAUGGGUUUUUCUUUGAUAUAGAGAGUUGCAGCGGCGGAGCGGAAGUUCUAGGUUAACCUUCGAGGGUUUCUGGAUUUAUAGGAAUUUUUAGCGUUAGAAUCACGUCGGCCGGAAUCACGUGGGUGCCACAAGCUAACAGGGCGCGCGUGGGGGAGGGGCGGUUGGCGCGCCCUGUUGGCUUGUGGCCCACAGGUGGCCCCCCUCCCGUGGUUCUUCGCUCCGGUAUUUCUCAUAUUUGCUAGAACAGAUCGUCAAAAAGUUCCGGACGAUUCCAAGAACUUUUAUUUUCUGCACAAAAAACAACACCACGAUAAUUCUACUGAAAACAAUGUCAGUCCGGGUUAGUUCUAAUUAAAUCAUAUAAAGUGCAUCACAAUCAUAUAAAAGUAUUGUAAACAUAGGCAAAUAUGGCAUGGAUACUUCAAAAUUAUCGAUACGUUGGGGACGUAUCAUCGGCAUUCUUCCUCUCUCUGAAGAAAAUUGUUUACCCAUGUUUAAUAUUUUGCUAGAUGAGCAAGAUUUACCGGAGAAAAUUGUGUUCCAACUGCCGACGGACAAAUACAACAGAAUAAACUACCAUGUGUCAAGGAAUUCCUAGAAAAAAACAUGUAAGUGUGUCAUACAUUCAGUUUUCUUCCUAAUUCUUGACACUUACGAAGUAAGGUCAGUUUAUUGUUCAUGUAGCUUCGACAUCUAAAGUAAUUCAGAUUUCUAUUACAAAUUGUUGCAGGGUAUGAACAACUUGGACUAACUGUAAGUUGUAGCAUGGGAGUUCAUUAUGGCAAGUCAAAGGAGAACUUGAAGUAAUGCAUCUUCGAAAUAAUAGGAGUUAUCUUUCAGAAACUCCUCUUCUUCUAGCUUUGUCAAUUAUAUAUUCGCUUUUCUUCCUAAAUUUUAUAAAUCCUAAUUAGUCAUGCUCAAUUAAGUUCUGCUCAUGUAGCUUUGACACUUGAAUUAAUUCAGUUUUUUGUUUCAAAUUGUUGUUCGGUCUGGACAAGUUGGAGUAAUUGGAACUGUAGCAUGGGAGUUCAUCAUGGCAAAGUAAAAGAAGAACUUAAAGUAAUUCAUCACUACGCAGUAACAUGAAUAUCGGGUCACAAGUUGAAAAGUAGAAAAAAAUUGAGAAGUUAGCACACAUUGGUCUAUCUAUAUAUUUUUCUUAAGAUUGAAGUUAGUGAGUGAAUGUUUACUAUCCAGUAAUUGUCAUUUCAAGUGACUAGUUGGAAACUGUCCAAUAGUUCAUUAUAAUUUGUGCUGAGUGAAUGAUUACUAUCCAAUAGAAAUACUUAGUAUCCGGCUUUUUUCUCUACCUCUUUUAUUAAAGAAUUUAAUACAUUUUGUUGUUGAGAACAACAUUUUUUUAUGACUAUGUACAUUUCAAUGAGGUGUAUGAUAAAAAAAUAAGAAAAAUCAAUUUAAUAUGCACAAAUUACUGAGGAAUAUGUUCAUUUUUCAAAUGAGAAAGAAGAAAAUGUGCUACUAGUUGAAUGUAUCCAAAGGAAAGAAGAAGGCAAAGAAAGAACAAAAAGUGAAACACCAACGAGAAGAAAAGAAAAAGGAAGCAACGGAGGAGUGAGACAAGUCAGAAUUUUUGAAUCAGUCCACUCGCGCGGACGCCAGCUGGACCGGCCUAGUCGCGCCCUCUCUUAAGGGAGAGUCCCCUCUGGUCUCGCGUAAGGCGAGACAUAGGGCCCCCUCUAGAUACGUCAUUCUUAUAAAUUUGCACAAAUAAUGGAUGCAAGAAUUUCCAUUGAUAUUUUAUCUUUGUUUUGACCUGAUUUAUAUGGCAGUUUGCGGCAAAAAAACACCUAGCACCCGCAGUUGCACCGGUGAAUAACCAGUUUUAAAAACUACUCCCUCCGUCCGAAAAAAGUUGUCCAAUGCUUAGUUCAUUUUAAAUUUUGCAAAUACACCCUUUUCGUUUUAAAUCUCGUGCUAAUCCCCCCUCCUCUGCUUCUUCUUCCUUCACCCGUGGCUGGACCAAGUGGCCAUCUUCGCCACCGUCGGCAGCCGCCGUAGAUGUAGCGGGCGGCCGCCACCCACCCGCGCCGCUGCCCACCUGCGCCGCCCUCAAGCUGUCCUCCCACCUGCUGCAGCGAAUCUGGCCUUCCAAGCCCGACGCCGUUCUCGCCUUCCUCGCCGGCCUCGGCCUCUCCGGCGUUGACGUCGCUGCCCUCGUCUCCAAGGACCCACAGUUCCUCUGCGCCGGCGUGGAGAGCAACCUGCGCCCCGCCGCCGUCCGGUUCACCAGCCUCGACCUCUCGCGUUCUGAGCUCGCGCGCCUCGUCUCCAUCUGCCUUGCCGCACGGAGGCGAGCCGCGGGUCCGCGAGCUGUCGGGGUUCGAGUCCCGCGUCCAGCUAUGCGUGGUACGUCACUGCAUUUCCACUAUGGAGAGAUCAAUUUGUUCUGUGAGUGUCCACUAUACACAAGUGCGCAUAUCAGUAUGUGGUGAAUUUGGUAACUGGGAUUGGGAACGCCGACUGGGGAGACAAUAGCUGUAUUUGUGCUACUCAUAUCCUCUGAAUUGCACUUGGUCCAUUGUGGAUCCGCAGUACUUUGCUGAAACCAUUGUUUCAUGUGACAUGGAGGGACUCAUAUCCCCUUCUCAAUAAACUGAAGCUGUUUUCUGCCAGUUUUACCCAGGGUGUGUUCACCAUGUUUGCAAGGUAGUUAGUGAGCUAGUGCCUGAACUAUUAAACACAUCCGAGCUUUGUUAUGGUUUAUACUUCCUUGUGUACCAGCUUGAAUUUAGUGAUGCCAUCUGUAGGAUAACAUGCUAUGAAUCAAUAAGGAAGUUAUUGUCAUGUCUACUGGAAAGGAAAAUUGGUCAUCAUAUUAUGCAACUAUGUUUAGCUCAGAUUGAACCUUCUCAAGAACUGAAAGUUGACACAAUAUUCCAACACUUCCCAGAUAACUGAAGAAAACUGAAUUUUAAGGUUUAUUUCAGACUUGUCUCUUGCUAAAAUGUUGCAGGUCACAUAGCUCUUUCUACAAUCAUUUUUUAGUCCACUAUUAGAGAACACUGAAGGAAACUGUUCAGGGCGACGAGGAACAAUUAUCUGUUUUGAGUACUGUAGAAAACUUGUGCAGUACUCAGAACAUGUGCUCUUGUAACAAUCAGUUCUCUGUUUUGGUUGCACAUAGUAACUGUUUUGUGUAAUGAAAAAAACUGCAUUGCUGCUUGUGAUGGCUUGUGAUGAUUAUUAAUUCUUGCUGUUGAUAUCCACUACAAUAUCCUUGAAGUUUAAAAGGACCCUGUGUUUUUAGGAAAUGCAUGAAGUUCAACAAUGCACCCUGGAUAUUUAAAACCUUUGUUAACUGAGAAUACUUAAAAUGGUGCUAUGGCAGCCUCUUUGCCCUGUUUCAAUUAUUUGUCUCUAUCAUUUGUAUAUUGGGAAGAAUGCUUCAUUUGUUUACAUUAUGGUGCUAACCGGAUUCAUCUAUCAAUGAUUAUAGAUAGAAGCAGAGGAACGACUAUGGAUUUGAACUUGAUGGCUGAAGAGGAGGAAGGAGCUCGAGAGGGUCAUGCUAUGGAUUUGAACUUGAUGGCUGAAGAGGAGGAAGGAUCUCAAGAGGGUCAUGCUAUGGAUUUGAACUUGAUGGCUGAAGAGGAGGAAGGAGCUCGAGAGGGUCAUGCUAUGGAUUUGAACUUGAUGGCUGAAGAGGAGGAAGGAGCUCGAGACGGUCAUGGUAUGGAUUUGAACUUGAUGGCUGAAGAGGAGGAAGAAGCUCAAUAUGGUCAUGCUAUUGAUUUGAACUUGAUGGCUGAAGAGGAUGAAGGAGCUCGACAUGGUCAUGCUAUGGAUACGAACUUAAUGGCUGAAGAGGAGGAACAAGCUCGAGAGGAAGAAGCUGAUGCACAAGGUAAUGCAAAAAAGAAGGAGCUAACAGACAAUGAGAGGUUUGGUGUUUACUUUGCUCUGCGAGUAAUCGAGCUCAGAGAUGGGAAGGUUCAUCCAUAUGAUAAGGUGCUCAUCGCAACGCUGAUGAAUGUAUGCGUACGAACAGUUUCAAGAAUAUGGAAUCUAGCGAAAGAACAACUUGACUUAGGCCAAGAAGUGAACGUUUCAAGCAAGAAGAAGGGGAAUGUUGGUAGAAAGAGAAAAGAGCUAGACUUGGCGAGAACAGCUACGGUCCCACUGAACAGAAGAAGGACAAUCAGAUCUCUUGCAAGGUGUUUGGGUGUUCCCCGCUCGACGCUACAUGAUAGGUUUCAGUUAAAAGAGCUGAAACGCAUCACUAACACUGUCAAGCCCUUCCUCAAGCGAGCUAACAAGAUAGCGAGACUGAAAUUUUGCAUAUCCAUGAUGGAUGAGCACUCGAUAUCAACCCCCUAUCCUAGCUUCAAAUCAAUGAAUAAUAUGGUUCAUAUAGACGAGAAAUGGUAUGACAUGACGAGGGUUAAGAACACUUACUAUGUACUGCCCGGAGAACCUGAACCUGAGCGCACUGUCUCAAACACUAACAGUAUUGGGAAGGUCAUGUUCUUGACCGCCGUGGCAAAGCCCCGGUACAAUGAUGAAGGAGAGAUGACAUUUGAUGGAAAGAUUGGGACUUGGGCGUUUGUUGUUGAGACAGAGGCACAACGGAACAGUCAAAAUAGAGAUAGAGGAACGAUUGAGGUGAAAUCAGUGAAGGUAACCAGACAUGUAUGCAGAGAGUACCUGAUCAAUAAAGUAAUCCCGGCAAUCCAAGACAAGUGGCCCGACGAUGACGAGGGCACCACAAUCUUCAUUCAACAAGACAAUGCAAAGCCUCAUGUUCUUCCUAACGAUCCAGGUUUUCGAGAAGCAGUGGAGCAAACAGAUUUGGACAUUCGAUUGUUACAACAACCUCCAAACAGCCCCGAGUUCAAUGUUUUAGACCUGUGCUUCCACCGAUCUCUCCAAUCCCUAACCGACUACAGAGCGCCUAUGAAUAUCCGGGAACUGAUACAGGGUGUAGAGGAGGAGUUUGAGAACUAUGAGGCUCAUAUUUGAAUUAUUUGGUUUUUUAUGAAUUUAUUUGGAUUUUUUGGAUUUUAUGAAUUUAUUUGGAUUUAUUUGAAUUAUUUGGAUUUUUAUGAAUUUAUUUGAAUUUAUUUAAAUUAUUUAAAUUAAUUUGACAAUAAAAUCUUAUGACAAGAUAUAAAGACAAAAACUCUAGUUGAGAGAAAUAAUAUCUUUAUUAAGAGUCAUUACAAGAUGUACAAGGUCAUUACAAGGAGUUGGAAGAAGAGAAAUAAUAUCUUCAUAAGGGUCAUUACAAGUUGUAUAAGAUCAUUAGAAUAAAUUCUUCUCCUUCUUCUUCUUCUUCAUAUUUUUCUUCUUCUUCUUCUUCUUCUUCUUCUUCAAUACACAUGAUAGUUUCCUAUUCUCCAAAUAAUUCUGCAGUACACAAACAAAACGUUAUCUUUUCAACCAUUUCAGAAACUCCAAGUUGUCAAGUGGCCGUCCUUUAACAAGUUUGUUGACCUCAAUAUUCUGCAGAAAGCAUCCACCCACUAAUUAGCAUAAUAAAGAACAUUUUAUGCUACAGAUUACCUAUAUUCAUAAAGAGUAGAAGCUCUAGAAGAGAGAAGAAGCACCCUUAGCUCGGUUUACUAAAACACAGGCUCUAAAAAUGGGCAAAACAUUCAGAAAGCACAACUCCUUUUCUUGUGCUUGAAAACACAAUGUCUACUGUGAAGGAAACAUAAAAACGUCUCCUCAACAGGAGAUGAAAGACAAGCAGGCCUGGGAUAGAAACUAAAACUAGCCUUUUUGUUCAGAUCUGCUUCAGACCACCACAUAUUCUCCUGAUUGCCUGAGCUUCAGAGGAGGUGCAGCAAUGGCUUGUGGUGACCAACAUGCAGAGAGGAUAGAGACGGGGCUGCUCAGUGUGCAUUUGUCCCUAGGGGCCUUUUCUUGCUCGGGAGUGGUAGCAGUCGUCGUCAUCAGAUACCUUGAGAUUAGGGAUCCCUUCAUUUGAAACCUGCUUCAGCAUCAGCCACUUAGGAUCAUGGGGGGCAGCUGGGUGUAUCUUGUCAGCUCCUCCAAGAAGCCCAACAUCUUCAGCUUGCCAUGUUCUGGUGUCAGUAUCUCCCAGGAUUUGAGAGUCCUGAGGAUCACUCUCCAGACCUGCUCAGCAUAUAUCCAAGUGUUGUUGUUAAAGAUCAUAGAGUUCUUAUACAUCCACCCACUAAUUAGCACAAUAAAGUAAGCAAAGCAACAUAAUUCAGCAUUCCAUUUAAAGAGUAGCCACAUUUGUUUGGGUCUAGAACAUAAGCCUAAGAAUCCAGCAUCUAUGAACGUCGCGCAGUGCUCGAUAUAUCGAACCAAUUGCUGCAAUCAGGUAGGAGGAGAAAUAGCACACUGCCGGCGUCCUCACUGUACGCCGUGGCGGCGGCGGCGGAGACCGAAGAGGAGGAGGAGGAGGAGCCGCAGCGCGCGGCGACGAACGACACCCCUCCGAGCGCUCGCCGCGGCCGCGGACCUCAUCUCACCGUUGCAGCACGGACGCGGUCGCAGCCGCCGCGGGCCUCAUCUCGCCGCCGACGGUGGUGGGUGUGCGGGCGGGCGGGCGAGCGGCGCAGGAUGGCUGCUGAGGGGGCUGUGGACGGACUCCGCGGCGACACGAGGCUUCGAUUGGGCCAAACAAACAAAGCUGUCCCGAUCCAAACAAACAAAACUUACCGGAGACUCGCCGGAGCUGGAGUAUGCACGGGCAGUGCCGCCGCCGGAGCCGGCAAAUCGCGAGCUUGGAAGAAAAGGGUCUCCUUCCAUCUUGAGAUCCUGAUGAGGAAGAAGAGAAGAGGUCGACGGUUGGCGGGGCGAUAGAGACAGCGGCGAGACGAGCGGGAGAAGGCGGUCGGCGGUCGGCGGUCGGCGAUAGAGACGGCGGCGAGACGAGGCCCGGAGCUUAGGAGGCGGCGCGGCGCGGUGGCACCAGGAGUUGCAGCGCGGCGCGGUGGAGGAAGAUGGAGGGGAGCGCGCGUUCGGUCGGGCAAACAUGAAGGGGUUUUUUGAAAAAAUGCCUCGGUGACAUCUUUUUUCGGACGGAGGGAGUAGUAGUUCGUUUAUCUUUUUAUAAAAGCUUAUUUCCACGUGGUGAUGCCCAGCCCUGUCUUUACCAUGACACCAAACGAGCUCUAUGGAGUUACGAUGUCGCCAAAAUGAGCUCAUCCUGUCAACGUUCCGCGCGCGAGUCGCCCCACAAGGUGCCAGGUCACUCUGCAAACCUUGUUAAAACAUCAGACGCACGCACACGAGGUUCUCGGGCCAGGAACGGAGCUCCGACGCAAGGGCAAGGCUUCGCCAUGGCUAGCUACGUUCCUCGCAUCUGGCUCCCACGGACGUUCGUGGAGCAGCAGGCGCACAAGUUCAUAUCUCGGGCUUCGAAUUUCUACACGAGAAUCACAGGGUACACACACAUACUGUACUCCUAUAUUCUUCUAUCGAAUGCUCCUUUUCUGUUCCUACAUGUGGUAGAGUAAUUUCGUAGAGAACUGGUAGUGGUAUCUAGGAUGGCUGUCCCGCUGCAUGGACUAAUCUCAGAGAUUUUCCUCCGCCCAGAUAGCCGCCCCGUGAUUGACCACUUCCCCGACAGUGCCUGAAAUUCUGACUUCGAGCUGAGAGCAGAUACUUGACCACUUCCACUUCCCCAUGAUUAAUUUGUCAGUCUUGCUAUUUGAAUGUGCAUGUUGAUCUCAUGUAGUAGUCCAACCGCGAUACGAUACAUUACAUGUAUCGGCCCGAGAAACAUAUAUUAAUACUGAAACCGGUACCAUUUCAAAAUUACCUCAUGAGAAUCUAAAAACUAACUACUCCCUCAGUCCCGAUGUAUAAGUCAUUUGUGUAGUUCUAGGUCAUCGAUUUAAGGAAUUAAAUAUAUGUUAUAUGUUAUAAAAAGUAUAUCACUAGAUUUCUACACGGAUGUAGUUUCUAAAUAUAUGUUUUUUUGUCACAUAUGAUACAUAUUUACAUAGUUAAAUUGUCGACCUAAAACUACGCGAACGACUUAUACACCGGAACGGAGGUAGUAGUAUGAUGCAAAUAUUGAUUCCUGAACUAUUGAAAAAACCCUGAAACUGGAGAUAGAAAAUAGGAGAGAAAACUUAGACAGGAAAAGGCAAAGAAGAAAAAUCAAAAGGAUAAAUUAGCGUACUACACUCGGUCGAGGGGAACAAACGAUUACAAGCAGUUCAAAGUCUGAGGAACAGUUACGAGCCAACUUUGGAAGCUCAAUGUUGGGCCAAAAGUGUGAGUUUUCUAAUGGAGGGUCCUUUGUGGAAUUCUAUCCAAUGAGACGACAUUGAAGCAUCGACGCAUCAAAGAGCUAUGCAGGUGUAAUAUUUGGAUUAAUUUUACCGUUCUGACCUAUAGCUGAAACAUAAUCAAGAAUUAACCUUGUUUUGAAUAAAAUCUCGAAUCUAAUCUUUUUUGGUCACAUCAAUAUUCGUGACGUCGAGCUUACACGGGAGACGCUAGGAACCAUGACGUCCAGUUUGCACUAGACGACAAGGAACAUCCUUGGAAUUCAGCUUACACGAGACACGCGAGGGACCAUGGCGUCCGCUUUACACAAGACGCUAGAGAACAUCUCUGACGCCUAGCUUACACAGGAGACGUUAGGAACCAUGGUGUCCCAUUUACACGAGAUGCAGGGAUGUUCCCUCGCGUCCAGCUUACAUGGGAGACGUGAGGGACCAUAUGCCAAGGUUCAUGACGUUUGGUGUGUAACCUGGGGGCUAGGAAUGUUGGCAUCACAAAAGAAGUCAGAUUUAAGAUUAAAAAAACAUAUCAUUUCAUGAAUUUGUUUCAACAAAAGGUCAGAACAAUAAAGUUGUCCCAAUAUUUGCCUCGCAAUGGAGCAGAACUUCAUACAUGCACUAGUGUCAUGUGAACAUGCUAGCGAUUCUGGACUGGAUCAAAAUCUUCAUUCAAUUUGAAGUUGCCAAGGCUGCAUCUUGUUACUUGGGCCAUGGGAAUUUAUUGUGACUUAAUGGUAUCAAAGGAAGAUACAUGACACACUACUAUUUUUGCGAGCUAUUUGGUGUUCUAGGAAUCAUUGGACCCAUAACGAGGAGGCCUUCGAUCCAACAGUGACAAUGAAAUGACAUUGCUCCGAAACAGUGUUGGGGGCCGCCCGAUUUAGGUUGUGUGAAGAUUAAUACUGAUGGAGACAUAGGAGUUGAUGAGCAUAAGGAGGAGGUGAAGGGGUAGCUCAUUCACACAUUUUCUAUCUCCGUACUUGGUUUAAGCCUUGUAGCAGGGUAACAUAUCUUCUUAUGCAGAAGCGGUAGCUCUUCGGGAUGGAGUUAUGUUUGCCAAGGUAGUAUAAAUACGUACUCUCUUGAAGUGGCCAGCCUCUGGAAUACUUGCCAAAGUUCUUGGUCAAUUGUGUCUACUAUAUUCUUAAAAACUGGGGAGUUUACUUUUGGUUUUUCUUCAUAUGUUAUUCAAAAUGUUCAUAGGACCCCAAAUAAGUCAGGUCAUCUUUUGUGCUAAGCAUGGAUGCUUGCACUAACCAAUAGGAUGUUGUAUGCAAUGAUCCUCGUGCAAGUUGCUCAAAUUUUAUCCUCCCAUUUAAAUAGCGAAGGACUAACUUGUAGACUUUGUUCUUCAUGGUCAUUAUUAUCAACUUUUUACAUUUCUUUGUCCAGUCCCUGCUCUUAUCCUUCUACUUGAUGACGAUAUUCAUUAUGUUUCUCUUCACGGUUUCUCGGGACAACGCAACAUAGAGCUGAAUAAGAGAACACUAGAUCAAGUACAUACAUGCCACAAUCGGGAUGGUUUGCCUUUGCACCCUAGUGAUCAUCAUGGCAAAGCUAAACCUAAUCGGAAGCUGUUUCCUCUUGAAUAUGAAGGAGAACAUGUUGUCCUUGCAGGUCAGAAAAGUGUCCAAGGAAGGACACCCUCUUACCGAUGUGCUAUCCUAGCGCGACUUAUGUGUGGAUGCAUUUGUGUGGGAAUCGAGACAAUAAGCCGUGUGUCAUCAUUACGAUCUAUCAACUAGAUCGCUCGGUGGUAUAACAUGACAGUUUAUCUUCAAUCUAAGUACAUGCGAAGGUAGCCUGUUGAGAGUCAACGAGUUGAGGACCUAAAGAGCGCAAUACUCGUCCUUCGCACCAUCAAAGUUGUGGUAGAUUACCUCUUCACCCGAGAGUGCUUUAUCAUGCAUAUAUUUAUCAUUUCAGCUGCCAUGCUUCUCUAGCACAUGUAUAUGAUUGUCAUGCUUCUCUAGCACACGUAUAUGAUGUCAUUUCAUAUGAUUUUUUCAUAUUCAACAAGCAAAAAUACAGUAAGAUAACUUCGGCCAACCAAGAAAACAAGUUAACAUAUAUCUCUCAAAUGUGCAAUUUCCUCCCAUCAACGAUUCUAUAUACUUGAAAGAAAGUGUAAAUGCCCUAUAAUAUGAAACUUUCAGCAAUAUAAUUUUUUUUGCCACAGUGUGUUUUAUGGGUAUACACAUGAAAUCUUGAUAUCCUCUUCAUGUUGAGCGGUGUGUUUGGUGCAUAAAUUUGAAUGCCUGUUGUCGCUUGCAUAUUUGUGUGCUUGCUUAAUUUUCACCCCAAUGUCAAGAGAAGAAUCUUGCACAAUGCAUAUUUUAGUUUAUUUUUCUUCCUGGUCUAUGUUUUUUGUUGAUAUGUGUGUGUGCUUUAUACUAACAAAUUUUAUUUAAACAUCAGACCCAUGUUCUGGAUGGUAGUAGUAUGUAUAAAAAAACCUUGGACAUUUUGUUGAUUCUUAUAAUUUUCAAUACUACCUAACUUGUAUGUGAUGCAUAAUGAUUGACAUGUAAACUUGGAUUGCUUUCUGAAUUUGUAACUUCAAGAGAAACAUGGGUGGUAAUAUAAAUCUACUAUCGAGGUUGCGUUAUUUAGACUUGUUUGUGCAACUUUGCAGGUUCUGAGAUAAACCUGAACACCUGAACUACACACGGUGUCAAAGUUAUGGAAGAACGCUUAGAAGAUAAGCCAAUUGUCAUAUGCAACUGGUGGUUUGUACUCGAGGAGCUUAGUUCUCAAGGAAACAAGUAAGUACAUUGUUUGUUGCUUUUCACUUUUCUUACUACUUUGAUUGUUGUUGUGCUCUUAGUUAUCUGAAGUAUAUCUCAUGUUUGCAUUGGUAUAAAUUAGAUCAUAGCUAAUGAUAUUCCAAAAAGAAGAAGAACGAUAUAUAAGCAAUCAAAAAAACUGGCUACCAAUUGGUUGGUUGUGAACUUCCUUUGUUAGCCUCACAAAACUUGUCAAUGUUUUGGCAAUUUUUUUAUCUUUCCAAAUGUUGAACAACCAAUUUUGGCUCCUUACCAAUUAUGCUUGAAAGCAUGAUGCUGCUGAAGGCGGUGUUGGGGGGCAUCGACUGGGGUGAGGGAAACGUGAGCUGCUUUGGGUAGUGUGAGGUGAGUUGGGGCAGAAUGUGGCGUCACCGAGGCGAGGGAAGGAAAGGCAUGGUCUGAAGGUGGCUUUGGGCGGCGACAGGGUAGGGGUGGUUGGUUUUGAUGUUAGGACUCAGUGACAUUUUAUCCGCGAGAAGCCUAAGUGACAAUGAUCUUAUCUGCGAGGACCAUGUUUUUUAUUUUUUGUAUCUCCAACUUGAGUUGUGAGGGGGGAAUGAAAAGAAAACCAACGCUAACAAAAUGGAUGAGUGUUAGCAUCCCAUGCCUAGGUCCCAACGUAUGUCCCAGCUUCGGGCAUUUCUGAUGCACAUUUGACAAACCACUAUAAGCGGAGGGUCCAUCACAUCUCAUAAGACUAUCCUGUAGGGAGUGUGACACUCUCUCUUGUAAGGUGGUACGAGCCCCAUGGGUCAUUCGAACGUUUCCGGUGUCCAUCAGACACACCCUUGUAAGCGAAGAGCUCAUCACAUCCCAAAAGAGUAUUCUAAAGAAAGUGUGGCACUCUCACUUAUAAGGUUGUGACGGCCUACCACGUAACGAGGUGCAACUAAAGUACUAACAACGCCCAAUGUCACUAACAUAAAAAUCGAGGAGUACAGAUACAUAGGAGAGACCGGCCUUCCACUUUUUUUAUUUUAGUUCUUAUUUUAUACUCCCUCCGUCCAAAAAAGGAUGUAUCUAGAACUAAAAUACAUCUAGAUACAUUUAUUCUUAUGACAAGUAUAUUCGGACGGACGGAGUAGUAUCUAGUAAAGGAUCUGUUUUUUUCUUUUUCCACAGAGUGGGAGGACAGACGCAAUGGAUAAUAACGACUUCCUGAUAUUAGGCCAAUUUCAACGGGCUACGACAUUUGGUUCGUCAAUAUCCGUUUGGAUCGAAACAAACAGAAUAGCGGCCCAAUGAUGACCCAAACAGAUGGGCGUCUAUUUUUCGUUCGCCCGCGACCCAUUUUCAGCCCAAAUUUUGGUAGGGUCCGCGACGAUGCCCGUCCUUGUCCCCCUGGCCCACUCGCCGGUGGCAUGUAGGAAAUUCUCUCUCCCCCUUUCACAACCGACACCAUCUGCCCUCGCUGCCGCCACCCACUUCCGGUCGCUUGGACGCUGCCGCCACCCAGGCCUGGGCAUAAAAACCGAUGAACCAAAGACCGAACCGAUGCCGAAACCGAAAAAACCGAAUUUUCGGUUUUUCAUGCUGUUAUAGGAAAAUUCGGUUUUGAACUUUACUAACCGAAUUGUAUUCAGCCGGUUCGGUUUUAUAUCGGACACCGAAACAUAAACCGAACUUGCUAUGGAAAUUGCCGCAUGUGUGCAUGCGAGACGUGCUGGGCGCCUCGGCUGGUCACAUAACACAGGUAAUUAGGCCCACUUUUUUGCAUGACAGAUUGUGCCAGGCUGGCCUCGACGUAUCGCCUCUGCUGAAGCCCGCUCGCUCAUUCAUUCCGCAUGCAUUUGGAUUUGUCCCACCUCGCCUAGCUACACGAGAUGAGGCAGUGAGUUCGUCUACUUAAGAAGGCUUGCUGCCAGAGGAAAAAUACAUGCUCGAAACGUGGUGAGAACAAUUGAUGUUUCUCUUCGGUAUAAACUGAAACCGAACCGAAUUUUUCGGUUAACCGAGUUUUUGGUUUUCAAUCUUUUUGUGCUCUUUUCGGUCAGCAAUAUUAGAAAACGAUUUUCAAAAAAGACCGAACAGUAGAAACCGAACUUUCGGUUUCUACCGAACGCCCAGGCCUACCGCCACCCACUUCUGGUCGCUUGGACGAUGCCCAUUCCUCCUCCCGCAUGUACCCAUUCCCCCCACCUCAAUGCCGCAUCCGAAGGCACAUUCUUGCCGACAUUUGUGGCCUCUUCUCUCCACUUUUGGUUCAAGGGCAGCUACAGUUGCCAGCACCGACCUCCACUGCACUUCCACCAGCCUCGUGCUCCAGCGCCGCUCACCGCACUCGCCUCUACUUUCACAUGCCUCCUGCAUGUACGGGGAGGGCGUGGAGCUCUUCACUGGUUGCUACCACAUAACGCCCACAAGGUGUUCGUUGCUUUGCCCGCAAGGUACAAUGGAUAGUGGGGAUGAAUUCUUUUUCAACAACUUCAUUUGUGAUUCGGACGAUUCUUCGUCCGUCGGUGAGGAUUUUGUUGUUGCUACUUUGUUCAUCAAUGAGCACAUUGCUAGGCAGCGGCCGAGGUUCAGAGGAUCCAUUUUGGGCCAUGCUCCAGCGUUGAAUCGGAAAAGAGAAAGCGACCAUUGCCUACUCUUCACCGUCUACUUUGAGUGCAUGUUCACACUCUUCAACCCCAAGCUUUUUUGGCACUGCUCCAGGAUGGCAAGACAUGGGUUCAACCAUAUUCGUGAGGGAGUGAUGGCGUAUGAUGCAAAGAGGAUGCCCUUGGAAAGGUUGAUGUCUCCUUUUAUCACAAAUGCAAUGUGGCUAUUCGGAUGCUUGCAUACGUAAUUCACGGGUUAUCAUGUUUAUGAGUAUGUCUGCAUGAGUGAGUCCUCAUGAAUUGCAUCAUUGUAGAAGUUCCACAAGGUUGUGGUAGCAGUAUUUGGUCUGGAGUACUUAAGAGAUUCAAAUGCCACAGAUACAACCCAUUUAUUGACGAUCAAUGCGAGAGAGGCUUUCCCGGGAAGCUUGGUACCAUAGAUUGUAUGUACUGUAAGUGGAAGAACCGUCCAUUUGCUUGACAUGGGCAAUAUAAGGGGCACAUGAAAGCUUGCACUGUCAUACUUGAAGCAAUCACUUCAAAAGAUAUCUGAAUUUGACAAUCUUAUUUCGUAUGGUUUGUUCUGACAAUGACAUAAACGUGCAUCAACGGUCUCCCUGCAAUCCUCGACCUCCUUGGGGCAGGAAAACCACCCAUGUCAAACGAAGCCUUACUGACGUAGAAGAUGUUUACCAGAGCUAAUGAUUCACCGAGGUGUAUCCUGGUUCCCGGUCUUAUCUCUCGAGCUAAUGAUUCACCGAGCACAUCCUGAUCACACCUUAUUCUGAGCACAUCCUGAUCACACACUUGACCCACUUCAUCGCGACCACACCUCACCGUCGGCCCAGGCCCAAGCAAGAAAACCUUUGAUAAUUGUUGACUGAUACGCGGCGGAGGAUAGCAGCAGGUAGCGGCAUGUCCAUAUCGUCAUCCAUCUCUCGACCGUAAUCCCACGUCCCCCAACGCCACGCAUUCAAACCCUUCAAUUUCCGGCCCCAUCCUCCCGCGUGUGGACCAGGAUCCGUGCCGCGCGAACCGUUGGCCACGAUGGAGCGUCGCGUUAUCGGGAGCCUAUCCGGUGUCCCGCCGGGGGGAUGAGGGCGCCCAUCGCCAGUGGCCGGGAUCCACCGGCCUCGCCGAGCCGCACGCCGCCGCGCGCAACCCGUCCUUGGCUAGCUUGGUCCUCCGCGCGCAGCCGCUCCCGGCACUAUUUCUUGCGCGCGUAUAUAUAAGGAGGGCGCCAGGCACCGCCCAUCUGCAGACAAUGUCGACCGCCGCGGCUAACUGGUGCUACGCAACCGUCGCGCCCCGUGCCCGCUCCUCCACCAUCGCCGCCAGCCUCGGCACCCCCGCGCCCUCCUCCUCCGCCUCCUUCCGCCCCAAGCUCAUCAGGACCACCCCCGUCCAGGCCGCGCCCGUCGCACCUGCAUUGGUACGUACUGCACCUGCACCUGCACCUGCACUACACUACGCACGCCUUGGCAACUGCAUGCACCAUGCAUAGCUAGCAUAUCCGUCCUCUAUCCGGCCCUUCUUAAGCUUUGGCUAUAAGUUUGGCAUCAUGGCAUGUGCCUUUGCUGUUUUGGGAACGGCAUGGGCCAUGGGUCCCUUUGAUCCACGCCACAUGCCUAGAUCUUCUUCCCAGAAUAUGGGAGGAUGCCAGCCACAAUGCCUUGCGAUGGCUGAACCAAAUGCACCUCAUUUUCGCGCUCAAAGAACCAAAACGCAUUACUGCACAGCUGAGUUGACCAGCUUGAUCUGCACAUGGGGCUUGCAUGUUGCCCAUGAUCUCCUAUACUUUGCAAAAGCAAUCAUUGAAUAGUAUAUGGAUCCAACUUCCAACAGACAAAGGCAUUGUUUUCUUUAGUCCUCCCUGCAUCCACCAUCAACAUGAGUGUCAACAAACCGCAUAGAAUACGCGGGAAGAACGGUUUUCCAAAGAGGUGCCCAGCGAUAAUGUUAAUUAAACACAAUAAUGUGCUCUGGAUUGAAAAUAACUUCACAAAGUCUCAAGUGUACAGGAGAAAGUUUAUACUAGUGCAUAAAUAUGUUGCUGCUUUUCCUUAAAGCGAUAAGGUGGAGUCUAUCGGGCAUUAUUGCUAAGACUGAACGACGCCAAUUAAGCUAGGUCUACUCUAUGUUCCUACUCUCCUGGUUCUUCGAGAAUGAUGUCCAUCCUUUUGGCUUGAUGUUGGGUAGUUUGACUUUGAUUCGAAAUACUAACGACUAGGUCAUCCAAUGCGUCAGCUUCCUAUUUUCCUCUUUUUGGAGUUUUCAAACACCACCUAUGCAAGUUAUUACACUCGAAGGUUAUAACAAAUCCUCAUUUAGAUUACUAAUGUCUCAAGAAAACAAAGAGUAAUGUGCAGAAACACCAAACUUUUACGUAGGAGAUUGUACAUAAAAACUUGUAAACCAUAGGUAGAGGACGCCUGGUCUUUUAAUUUGUUGGCAUCAACGCCACAACGCUACACGUAGUGAUGUGAUGCAGAGCUUGAAGCUGAUUGCAACCCUCAACCAUGUGUGGUAGCAGCUCCUCCAGCCGAGAUGCCAUCAACAAAGAAAGAAUCCUACACAUAUGUCGUCCCAAUGUAUUAAUCUUACAUUCUAAAGAACAUGCUGAAGUAUUAUUUGGCAUAAUACAUCAUGCAUGUCAAAAAAAGAGCAGAAACGCCGUCAUAGCAAGCAUUUACAGUCUGUCUUCAAAAAAAAAGAGCAAGCCGUUGCCGUUCGGUCGUCAAUUCAGGAGAUUCGGGAGCAAAUGCCUGCCCCUGGUCGUCGAUUGAGGAGUAGGGAGGGAGGGAGGGAGCGGUACGUUGCAUAGGUUCCUUCCAAUAAUUCAGGAGGCGUUGGUCUCGGCAGUUGGUACGGGAUAGAGGCGUCAUUUCCGCUCCGCCUUCCUCGUCUAUGAAAAGGAAGAUGCUACGUCCCCGUGAAGAGGUGGCCCUUCCUCCGGCCCCAGGAUCUGGAUUUAGACGUUCGUUGGGAGUAGAGGGGCCAAUUGUCCUUGUAUCUGGGAGCUGGUGAUUACCCCAGCCCCCACCUUCACCCCAUGCACCUGGGCAAACGCUUCUGGGGAUCUGACUAGUACUACUACUAGUACUAGGCAGCACACAGUUGAAUGGCUGGCUGGCUGGCUGGCAGAAACGAGUAGAGUAGUACUGGUAUCCUGAUAUGCUUUGACUUGUGAACUUUGUCGGUUCCUAGACCUAGUGGCAAUUGCAUCAUGCAGCAGUUCCUUUGUUCGUAAGCUUUCUCUCGACCCAUCUUAUAUAUAUUUGAUUCCAUAAAUAAUAACAUUAGAAAGUAGUAGUAGUAGUAGUACAAAAGGAAAGGAUAAACAUAAGCAGGUCCGGCCACCUUCAAUUCACGGGUUUAAUGAUCUGACCAAAACAUGCUAGUACUAGAAAAAGAGAAAAGAGGACCAUAGUGACCGGCCAUUUGGCCACAGAGCCAGCCCCUCCUUUGCUGCUAACUUCUUUCGUUGCCUUCUUCUUUCCACUCACCGCGUUCCACGUGCCAUGUUUGCCAGUAAUCCGUCCGUCCAUCCAUCCGGGGAGAGAAGAGAGAAGAGAGAAGAGAGGAGAGAAAACAAAAGAGUAGAGUCGCGAUAGUUGAAGAUGAGCGGCUGCCUGUGCCUCCCCUGCUGCUAUAAGAAGUCCCCCGCCCCCGCCCCCGCUGGGGAGAACAACAAACCAGCAGCGGCAGCGGCAGCGGCAGCGGCAGCGAUAGAUUCUUCCUCCUCGUCACUCAUCCAGAAGCCUACCUACCAUCCACCACCUCCUCCACCCUCCAACAAGGUCCGUCUCCCUCCUCCCCCCUCUCCCCCACACACCACCCACAAACUGCUCCAUCCAUCCAUCAAUCUCUUCUUUUUUCCGUUUCCUUUUCUCCGCCCGCCCCCCUUUCGAUUCAGUUCACAGCUUGCCCUUUCAGCUUUUCUUCUUCUUCUUCUUCUUUUUUGUUGUAAAGCAUUUGUUAUCCUCUUGCAUCGCCUUUGAAUCGCCUUUGUUCGUUUGCGCACGCCCUCCCUCUCCCUCUCCGUGGGCACAGCUCUCUCCCUCGAAAUUCGCAUGAUGCAUGUCAAUGGGUUAAUUUGACGGCAACUGAUUCGGUGCUGAUCCUUCCCUCCCCUUUUGCAGAUGGACGCCGCCGUGGAGCGCCUCAAGACCGGGUUCGAGAAGUUCAAGACCGAGGUCUACGAGUAAGCAGUUACCCCCAAUCCUGUCCUGCUGCGUCAAACCGAUGAUGUUUUCGUUCGAUUUAAGUCUUGUGUUUUAACUGACGAUUCUCUCUCCGUUUCCUCUUCCCCUGACAGCAAGAAGCCCGAUUUCUUCGAGCCGCUCAAGGCCGGCCAGGCGCCCAAGGUAUGUACCCCCCAUCAUUCCUUCUGCCAUAAAAUGUUGCCCUACUCUACUCUAGUUGCUCUGUAGAUUUGGGGAUCGACUCAUCAGGCGCUCACUAGUAUUACUUCUUCUGGUAGCCAUGGCGCAGCAGCGGAAGAAAAGAAAGCCCCUCUGUUCGUUCACAUUAUCCUGGGCAUAACCCGGAAUACACUCUGUGCUGUGGCCUGUGGGUGCCCAUAGCAUUUCCUCCUGCUGCGGUCAAAGCAGAUGAAAGAAAACUGCCGCUUGUCCUGAUGUCAUGGCCUGGCCGUAAGAGGGGACAGCUUGUCGCCAUUGCCGGCCAGUUGAUACUCUACUACUAGUACUAGGUUAUGUGUUAACACAACCACUACUGUACUACCGUAGCAGAGACGGGGCAGGGGGCAAUCUCAGGCUGAAACCAGUACGCUUGUGGAUCUCCCUCCGAAUAAACCCCCCACCUGUCGUGCACAUCCAGGAAAUCGGAUCGCGCUGCGGUAACGACUCCCAUGUGCCGUGCGAUGCCAUGAUAUGAUUUGGCUUAUUGAGAUGUCACCGUCCCUAUCACUCGCUUUGUGGUCUUGUGGUAUUAGAAUAUGGUUCUUUUUUUGCCCUUUUAUUCUCGUGUAGGAGGGGCAGCAGCACCUAGGAUAACUUGACGUCCGGAAUCUUGCAAGUACAAGUACGACUAAGUAUCAUUUUUUUCCCCAUCUCUCAGCUGAGAUUAUCGAUUGGCGUGCUUGCUAAUGCAAUGGUAGUAGUAUUAGAGGUCGUUGAGGUUCUUUUGGCCCUGUUGAAUUUCGAUCCCAGCCGUCUGCUUGCUAUCAUCCUCUUUUUUUUCUUCUCUUUGGAAAUGAAAAUAGCCGUCAGCCCGCACUAUCGGAGUUGAACAUGUAGUAGUACAUCUUUUGAUGAUGCCCAUUUAUAUGGAAGCUUCAUCAUCUUGGCAUGGCACCGGCCGCGUCAGACCCCACACACACAAAGAACCGUGAACAGCAAGCCUUGUUCCUUGGGAUAUUAUUGAAAGCAGAGAAGAAAUACCUCUACCUGAACAGGGCAUAGCUAGCUGUAGCCAGCAUCUUAUGGCCAUGGCGCUGCCGGUCUGCGUAGCUACGAGUACAUGAUUAGGCAGGCCCUACCGAUACCAGGAGCUAUCAACGGGUGGAGCACCCAUCACAAAUUAAUGUGUUUGGACAGAGUCUUGCGUAUACAUAUGUUUGGCGGUACUCUUUUUGAGAUUGGCAUAUGCUUACCUUAAUCUGGCUGGUAUACUUGAGAGAUCGGUUUAGGCCCGAGGCUACUUUACAGGGAGACAGUAAUCCUGCAGCUGACCAUCCAUCCAUGCCACAGCCCAUGGGACGGUAGUGCUGGUGCUGCUACUGCAAGGAAGAAAAGAUCUUUACAGUACGUACUUCCGGCGUGUCGCCAUCGGAGGAGAAAGUUGCGCAGCGUGUGUGGGCCUGUCUUCAUUUGUUGCAGAAACCGCCGGUGGUCCUGUCUUGAUAACUCGCAAAAAAUGCAUGGCCCGUAAUCGAGCCUGUCGUCGGGUCUACUGUCACGCGUCAUAAUCAAGUGCUUAUUUCGGUAAUUUGGUUUUGGUUUGGAGGAGAAGCCUGUGCCAGUAGGCUAUCCAUGGUCCCGUGCCACGGAACCUUCGCGCUACUCCUACUUGCUUUGCUCGCCUUUCUGUCCCCUGUACCGUACGUCUCCGGUUCCUUCCGGCCAACACAUAGUAAUCUCUUUCCCUAGCCCCUCUGCACUGCAUCUGCAUGCUACUACUAUGUUCUCUCUCUCUCUCUCUCUCCUUGGAUAAAAAAGUGCAGUGGAGACAGGUCAAAAGUGGCAGCCUUUAGCUGCAAAGCUGUGUGUGUCAGAAGGAAACGCCUACACCGCCUAUCGCGGUUAUCAGCACAGCUGCUUAUUUGUUUAUGCGCUGAACAACGCAUCUGCUUAUCACUAACCACUGUGAAAUGCUCUAAACUAAAAAGGUGGAUUACGGCUACACGAGUGCUUGCUUAGUGUACGUAGUGGAGCAUCUUUUCUUUCUUGGUUGAUGAUUGAUUGACUGACUGAAUUGGUGUGAUUGGGUGUGCAUGCAGUACAUGGUGUUCGCGUGCGCCGACUCGCGUGUGUGCCCGUCGGUCACCCUGGGCCUUGAGCCCGGUGAGGCCUUCACCAUCCGCAACAUCGCCAACAUGGUCCCG
rnacentral:lncRNA from 1 species